rnacentral:lncRNA from 1 species
CAAAAAAAAAAAAAAAACCUGCAUUUACACCCAGCUAUUCAGAAUAUGGUGUUCCCCCAAAAUAUUUGGACAGCAGAAACCAACGACUGCCUAGAAUCUGCCUCCUUAUCACAUCUGCACUUCCUAACCAAAGGAGGGAGAUACAUUACGAUUUACCCUAGUGAAAAAAACCCAUUGAGGGGGAGCCUGAUCACCUAUCACUAAUGACCAUGAUACCCUUUUCUAGACAGACAGCUCCACUGCUAGCUAAGCAGGCUCUAGAAAAAAUCUGCCACAUGAGCACACGAUAAUCACACAGAAUAAGCUUCAAGUGAAUUACCUUGAAACUUUUUGACAGAACAAAAAUAAGGUUUCAAUCACUGUCAACUUCCAUUAGUGGGCCAAAUCUUAUACGUGUCUUAAUUGACAAAUUUAUUUGUGAACCAUUUCCUGCCAUAGAAAAUGCCUACACUAUAUACAGCACACAGCUCCUCACAUCCAGUAAGCUAGUUUGAGAAAAUAAAAACUUAGAAAAGUUCUCUAUACUCGACUCAUGCAGGAUGAUACAAUCUUGAGCAAACUGACCAGAUUUAGACAGAACUGUAAUACUCAUGCAAAAGAUCUCCAGAUUUUAAAGAACACGCUUGAGCCCGCACGAACAACAUUAAGGAAAUGUAAUAGUGUAGAGACACCACACAGAGAAAAAAAAAUAAUAAUAAUGUAACACAAUUGUCAUGUUGAAAAUAUUUAGGAUAUUUGCUCUUACAAAGUAGCCACAGAAAGCUAGCAUUUUUAGAAUGUAUUGGUGGGAUUAUGAUAGGAUAUCAAUGGCAAUACAGUAGGAAUUUCAUGAAGCUAUAUUACAUCUAUUACUCUUGUCAUCAAUUACCCUUGAAUAUAGGAAUAUCAUGUUUGUAGGUAAAGAAAACUAACAAAUAAUUACGAUAGAUGAUACAGCAGCAUAUACCUCUGCAAAGUUCCUCUGGUCUGCAGUAAGACGUUUAGUGGAUAAUUCCUUUAAGGUUCGGAAUAGGAUCAUAAAAAUCCUGUGGGAAGUAAGAACAUCUGCUGCUUGAAGCUGCUGUGCUAAAACAGAAAAGAGCUGCGGCCUAAACAAAUCAUUACAUAUUUUUUAUCAAUACAUAAAAUUACCCCAAUGAAAUACUUGAAAAAAGGGACUCUAUGUAUAGCAAUCAAUUAAAACAACAUGAUUUACCGCUCAUUAGGAAAAAAAAGUUCAAAUUUUAAUGCACAGUUCAUUUUCAGUUCAUGUUCUUUUUUUGGUAAUAUAAACAUAAGCCACUAUAAAUCAUCAUUAAAGCAGAUAAGAGCAAAAAGCAUACCAUUCUCUUGGAUAAUCAAAGCGAGCAAUUUUGGAAAUCAGCACAGCUAGCAUUUGAGCUACCUACGAAGAAACAUAUUCGUAAUAACAAAAUUAGCAAACACAGUAUCCAAACUAAAAAAAUCCAACCAAAUCAUAUGACGUGGAGACCUACUAUGCGUGAAUAACAAAAGCUGGUGAAAAGCCGACAAAUGAUUAUAGAAUGAAAUAUAAGACUUAAACGACACCUGGUUGUUUUCUUCUCUCAAGUGAGACAACAAUUUUUGUCUUAAAUGUACUUUCUCCUCAUUGCUUAUUCCCCUGAAAAGAAAUUCUUACAUUACAUUUUACACUAUAAUCAAUAAAAAUACAUCUCUUGUGCCAGCAGAGUCGCACAAAUUCUUACAAAUGAACCUUACAAAAAGUAUAAAAUGAUCGAUAGCUUACACAGAAUCGCGCCUAUUCCUCCAAUAACGGUUGAUACUAUUUUUGAAAUACACUGAAGCCAUCAAUCGUACAUCCACUUGAGAAGCUAAAUCCUUGGCAGUAAUCACUUCCUGCAUUUUAAUUUAAUUCAUUUCAAAAGUUGCUAAGCUUCACAAGAAACUAGAAUAAAAGAACCAAACUAAACUAAAACCCUAAAAAUGAAGGAGUCGGAGCACAGACCAUGAGACAAGAGCAGAAACCAGGUCUACUUUCCGACUGAGAAAGCGCCGCCUCAGCCGGUUUGCGAAUGCUUUCAUCGCGGCUCAUUGAAUUAGCGAGCAGCGUGUAUAUCGCAGGUAAAUCCGAAGCUGAGAGCGCCAUAGCUGUUGUUAAUCAAAGGCUCCUUUACUCACAGUCAGGGAGUAGUACAGAGAAGUACACUUGGACCGAGUUAGUGAGUUGGAUCGGACGAGUUUUUUUACUAAUGAGAAUGAUAUUUAUUAUUAUUAUUUUUUUUUUUUUUCCUUUGUGUGAUAAGAGAUUACAUGAAUCUUGAGGCUUUGUUAUUGUGAGAGUUUGUUAUGAUUGCGAUUUACCUGAAGGAAUAAAAUGAAAAAAAAUGAAAAUGGAAUAGAAGAUGGUCUUUGCUUGAGGUUUUGUCUGCCGUUAUUUAUACAUGGUGGUGUUCCUACACUAGCUUGGGAAGUGUCCCGGGGACUAUCUUGCAUGCGAAGAUAAGUAGGUUCUUUACCGUGCGCGCGCGAUCGAAUGGUAUCAAUUUUUUAUACGACUUAUGACCUUUCAAUGGUAUCCGUCCGAUGAUCAUUGUCUUUCUGUGAUGUUGACAUUUCGACAUUGAAAGUUGACCGAGAUUCCAACCAAAUCCUCGCUGCUCUUUAAGUCUUACCAAUCUCGGCCAAAGGCGCCAGCUGACAUACCGAUAGAUUUUACCAAUAAUGCUUGGGCGAGGGUGGUACUUUUCAUACGGAGAUUAUUAUGUUACGUAAUCAUAUAACAUAUAUGGUUAUAUAGUAACUAUUUGAUAAAAAUUUAAUAAUUAUAUAAAUAUAAAAUAAUAAAAUUAUAUUAUUUUCACAAACGUUGGAUGAAAUUCAACGGUUGUUACAUAAUCAUGUAACAUGUAACAUAACAAAAACUUUUUUAUAUUUUAUUUUUAUUUUUGGAAUUGUGUUUUUGAAUUUAUUGUUUUAAAAUGAAUAUUAGUUGUUUUGAUUUUUAUUUUGUGGAUUAAAAAAUGCAUUUAGUAGCAUGUUUGGAAAUCCAUAAUAUGAAAAUAAAAGUAAUAAAAAGGUAGAAUUGUUUGUGACAAUUGUUAUCAAUAAAUUGCAUUUUAUACGACAUUUUCUUACAAUUAAAUUUAUUUAAUUAUUGUAAAUCACUAUUUAAAGCAUAAUUAUUUUUAAAAAAUAAAAACAAAUUGUAUGUGUGUCAUUUCUAAGUUUCUAGAAAACAGUCUUUUAGUAUUUCAGUUUUCUUUUUAUGAAAUAUCUCAACCAAACAAAGUCUUUUUGUUGUUUUUAAUUUAUAAAAAAUAAAAAAUAACAAAUUUAAGGAAAGUUUUCUUUUUAUGAAAUAUCUCAACCAAACAAAGUUUUUUGUUGUUUUUAAUUUAUAAAAAAAUAGAAAAUAACAGAUCUGAGGAAAGAAAUGGAUAACGGCAUCUAAAUAUAACUUUUAACUCUUAAAGUCGAACUCAAGUGGAUAACCAAACAAAAAUGCUAAAAAUCACUUAGUCACGCCUCUUUGAGCCAAAUUUAAAAAAUAAAUUAAUCACCUUUAAAAGAUGAUCCAAAUAACUUGUUAAAUUUUUCAUUUUCAUUUCAAUUAAAUGUGUGAUAAAGUGGAUGGUAUUUUAAAUUGAAGGUCGUGUUAUGUUAAAUCAGUGUAAAUAAUAUACUUGGCCAACAUGAAUUGGACCUAUUCAUUAGGUGUCAUGAGUUUGCACACUAAUCAUACACAAAGACGGCUUGUUUAACUAAUUUACCUUGUACAGAUUUUUAAACCUACUUAACACAUGAUGUACAAACAAAUUCAUGUCAUAAACGAAUUAACAUGAUAACAGAUUAAGAUUACUUAAAAAGCUAUUUGGUAUUAUUCAAUCGAGACAUUGAUUUAUGUUUCAAUCAUAAAUCCAAGUUACAUGCUCAUGAUUCUUGGUCAUACAAAUAACAGAUUGUUGAUAACAUUUAAGAGUUUUUUUUCUUCUUUUUUUCAUGUACUAAUAUUAGAGAUUCCAACAUUUAAGUUUCAAUUUAAUAUGUAUUUAAGAUUUUUUCCUCUUUUUUUCUGUGUAAUAAUAUUAGGAAUCUUCGUGUUUAAGUCCCAACUUGAGCUCAAUAUUAUUUGUACUAAUUUAUUAAAUUAAUUUAUUAAAUGAUAUAUUUUAUAACUUAUAAAAUUACUUAAUUAUCAUCUAAUAAAUGAAUAACACAUCAGUUAAGAAUUAAAUUAGAACUUAAAUAUUAAAAUGUCUAACAUUUCUUUUUUUUUUUUUAUGAUGAAUGUUUACAUGCUUAGUUAGAGAUUUAUCGUGAUUUUAAAUUCAUACUUCGAUAGCAUUACUCAUGAUAUAUGUAUGUAUGUGUAUGUAUUGUGAUUUUAAGAAAUUUUGCAACAAUUAAAUGUGAGAUACACUCUCACUCUAUUAAAGAUAAUUUGCCCCAUCUUUUGCUUGAUAGAGUUCAUUCAAGUGAGAAAGCCCACUUAAAAAUGAUUUUCACAUGCCAUUAGGAAUAUAUUCUCUUAGAAGAACCUCUUCUGGUAAAAUAAAAAUAUAAUUUUUUUAAUAUAUGUUUUAAUGAUUAUUUGAUUAAGCAAAAAUAAAAAAUUCAAAUUAUUAAACUGUGAAUUACUAGGAGAAAACUAUGGUGCAACAAUGGUACCAUACCACCGUUGUACCUAGCCGUUGGAUUCUAAUGAAUUCAUUCAUUCAAGUGGAUCCAACAGCUGAAUGCAACGGUGGCAUGGUACCACCGUUGCACCGUAACCGGACCCAAAUUACUAACUGUCAUGAUAUUUGUGUGAAAUAUUAGAUUAUUAUUAUUUAUUUAUUUUAUUAGAGAAGGUGAAAUAUUGGAAUUUCGCUGUCAUAAAACAAAGCUCAAUCCAACGGCCACAUGCGGAACGUUCAUUUGGGGCAUAUUCAUACAUUUAAAGCCUCCUUUUGUUAGUCUAUAUAUUUGUGUAACAAAUUGUCUCUCAACUGUAGUAAAUAAAAGCUUGUAAAAACUUUGUUCGUACUUUAAGUACUUUUCUUCUGUAGGUUUUUUUUAUAACCAAUAACUUCAAUUUAAGGUAAAGCAUUUGAAUUGUUAUAGUAAAAAAUGAUAUAAUGAGUAAAUUUACCUAUUAUCUUGUGAACAAUUGCACGCGUGAUGUCAUUGUAUAGUAUAUUUCAAGUGCUAUUAAAAAUAUGGUUUUACAAGAUAUUAUCACAUGAUAGAAUUGUGAUAACAUGAGCAGUGUCUCGUAUUAUACUGUUAUUAUAACAAUAAUAAUAGAGAUUUUAAUAUUUGAGUUUCAACUCAAGUUCUGAUAUUAUGUGUCACUCAUUUAUUUAGUGAUAAAUUUAAACUUGUUUAUUAUUUUAUUUUACUAUUUAUUACUCAGUACUCAAAAGUUGCCUUUGCCAGUGGCAGUAGUAAUUUGCAUUUAGUAAAAUAAAUAUAUUAAUUUUCAUUGAUCUAAAAUUAUUCUUGAUUAUCUCAAAAAAUACCAGUAGUGUCCUCCUGAUUUGAUGCAUGGAGGAGGAGUGCAACCCUAUAAAAUGGAGGAGUCCAACCCCAUAAAAUGACUUUCUUAAAUAGAAUAAUGGUGAUGACGGAAAAAACUAAUCUUCAAUUUAUUUUUAUUUUUAAAACGUUAGUGUUUGUGAGUUUUGUAAAAAGAAAAUCUGAAGAAGUUGUUGGUAUUAAUUACUGUAAAAGAAUUUUAUUUAUUAAAAAUAUAUUUUUGACAUUAAGUGGAGUGUAAAAUGUAAAAAAAAAAGUUUUAACAGGAUUUGGGAGAGGUGACAGGUGACAUCAGUCCAACUCUGAAUAAAAUGACGUAAAAAGUGGGCCAGCUAGAGGAGAAAACACGGAAGAGCUUUGGGCCAUAUGUAGUCCAAUUCAUAGCCCAAAAUGAAUUGGAUCAACAAAGGCAAGAACGUGUAAAGCAGACAGGUGGGCGGCGAUGAUUUCCCAGAAUUGUACACAUAAAAUCUAGGGGUGGGCACGGUUCGGUUCGAUUCAGUUCGGUUCAAAAUUAAGUAGAACCGAUUUAAAUCGGUUAUUUUAUAAAAAUAACUGCAUAAGAACCGAACUAAAAAAGAACCGAACUCAAACGGUUCUUUUCGGUUCGGUUUGGUUUUUUCGGUUCUGGACCUAUUGGGCCUAUUUUGAAUUUUCAAAUUUUUAACCCAUUAAACUUCAUAAAUGUAAUAAUUUUUUUCAACAAGUUCAUCCUAAUUUCAUUAUAAAUAUUAACAAUAAAUACAAAGUAUUCAAAACACAUUUUAUCAAUAAUAUCUUAUUAACUAUUAAUAAAUAAUUAAAUAAACAAUCUAUAUAAUAAGAUGCUAGUUUUAAAAAAAAUAAAGAAAACUUACUGGUAAGCAACAUCAAUCAACUAUCAUUUACUCUUCAGCUACUUGCUGUUGUUCUUAAGAUUGCAUUGGCCUCAAAAAUUCUUCAAGAAAUUGAAAUUUACAAAAUUUAUGAAAUUGUUUUAUAUUUGAUUUUAGGAUUUAUUUUGGGAAAUAAAAAUUUACGAAAUUGUAACACUAACAUAUAUAUAUAUACUCUGAUUGUGUGUAUGCAAGUUUAUGUUAGUUAUCUUAUAUAAUUAGUUAAAAAUUAACACAUAUUUAAUUUAAUAAAAUUUAGUAGUGUCCUCCUGAUUUGAUGCAUGGAGGAGGAGUGCAACCCUAUAAAAUGGAGGAGUCCAACCCCAUAAAAUGACUUUCUUAAAUAGAAUAAUGGUGAUGACGGAAAAAACUAAUCUUCAAUUUAUUUUUAUUUUUAAAACGUUAGUGUUUGUGAGUUUUGUAAAAAGAAAAUCUGAAGAAGUUGUUGGUAUUAAUUACUGUAAAAGAAUUUUAUUUAUUAAAAAUAUAUUUUUGACAUUAAGUGGAGUGUAAAAUGUAAAAAAAAAAGUUUUAACAGGAUUUGGGAGAGGUGACAGGUGACAUCAGUCCAACUCUGAAUAAAAUGACGUAAAAAGUGGGCCAGCUAGAGGAGAAAACACGGAAGAGCUUUGGGCCAUAUGUAGUCCAAUUCAUAGCCCAAAAUGAAUUGGAUCAACAAAGGCAAGAACGUGUAAAGCAGACAGGUGGGCGGCGAUGAUUUCCCAGAAUUGUACACAUAAAAUCUAGGGGUGGGCACGGUUCGGUUCGAUUCAGUUCGGUUCAAAAUUAAGUAGAACCGAUUUAAAUCGGUUAUUUUAUAAAAAUAACUGCAUAAGAACCGAACUAAAAAAGAACCGAACUCAAACGGUUCUUUUCGGUUCGGUUUGGUUUUUUCGGUUCUGGACCUAUUGGGCCUAUUUUGAAUUUUCAAAUUUUUAACCCAUUAAACUUCAUAAAUGUAAUAAUUUUUUUCAACAAGUUCAUCCUAAUUUCAUUAUAAAUAUUAACAAUAAAUACAAAGUAUUCAAAACACAUUUUAUCAAUAAUAUCUUAUUAACUAUUAAUAAAUAAUUAAAUAAACAAUCUAUAUAAUAAGAUGCUAGUUUUAAAAAAAAUAAAGAAAACUUACUGGUAAGCAACAUCAAUCAACUAUCAUUUACUCUUCAGCUACUUGCUGUUGUUCUUAAGAUUGCAUUGGCCUCAAAAAUUCUUCAAGAAAUUGAAAUUUACAAAAUUUAUGAAAUUGUUUUAUAUUUGAUUUUAGGAUUUAUUUUGGGAAAUAAAAAUUUACGAAAUUGUAACACUAACAUAUAUAUAUAUACUCUGAUUGUGUGUAUGCAAGUUUAUGUUAGUUAUCUUAUAUAAUUAGUUAAAAAUUAACACAUAUUUAAUUUAAUAAAAUUUAAAAAUAAUUCGAUUUUUCGGUUCGGUUUUUCGGUUAAGUUAAAUGAACCGAAUACCGAACCGACAUUUCAAUUUUUUUAUAAAUUAUACCGUUCAGUUUUUUUAAAAAAAAAUCGUACCGAAUUAAAAAAAAUCGUCGGUUCGGUCGGUUCGAUUUUUUUAAGACUACAAUUUUUUUCCCACCCCUAAUAAAAUCUGUUUGCUAAAAUCCUAUUGGUCGGUGUGCGUGGGAUAUCCUGAUGGUUCCACGUCACCCAACGGGAUGUAGAUCCAGAAGUAUCUGGACUUUCUCGCCCUGGGAACCUAUAAAAACAGCCUCUCUUUGAUUUCAAAUCUACCCCGUCGCUAUUGUUAUUAAUUGUGAUCUUUUUCAUAACGCACUUCACUCCGUUCAAUAAUAAACCUCUAAAAUCUGUAGUGAGAUGCAAGGUGCAAAAAUGAAGGUUCGUUUCGCACUAUCGAUUUUUCUGUUUUCAACGCUUUUGAUCUUCAACGCGAAAGCCAAAACCGUCGAUCCGUACAAGGUAAUUAUUUUUUUUUUUUCUUUUUUUUUCCACUUGCUUUUUUUGCCUUUGGCUGUUUAAGUUUCUUUAAUGCGCAUAAUUGUCCAGUUUUAAUGUUUUUAUGAUAUGAUUUUUUUUUUUUAUAAUUUUGGUGGCAGUUUGUUUUCACAAUGCAUUACUGUAUAUAUGAUUUUCAUAACAACAGUUCCUCAGUUUUGAGAGAAAAAUUGCAAAUUUGAUGAUCUGGUUGAAAGCUAAGCUCAGUGGAAUUUGUUGUUAUUUAAUAUUUGCUUUAGAAAAAUCACAAAUUGUUUUCAUUGGAGCUAAUGUCGGCUGUUGAUGUUAAGUGACUUGGUGCUGUGAAAAUUUGGCUGAAACAACAUGAAAUUGUCACAUAAUUGGCAGUUAAUUGUCAUCUCUAGCUCUAAAUUGAACUGGAGAAUAGUUGUAUGGAAAUUUAAUUCAAAAUCAAUGAACAAAUAUUUUCUCUGUUGUUUUCUGUUCAAGAGGAUGGCAUUAUUUAGUUUAACUUUCAUUUAAUCGGAUAGCUUACUUACGAAUAAGAUUCAUUAUUUAGUUUAACUCUCAUUUCAUCGGAUAGCUUACUUACGAAUAAGAUUCAUUAUCAGGUUCUUGGUGUUGAGCGGAAUGCGAGCCAGCGUGAGAUUCAAAAAGCUUUCCACAAGUAUGUUAUUAUUAUGUCCCUAAUUCAUUGAAUUAUUCGAUCAUUUUGCAUUCCUUGUGUCUCACUUUCUGUCAUGGCAUAAGAGAAACUUAAAGGAUCCUACUUGAUAUAUAGAGUUUAUGAUUGAUAAUGUGAUUAGAAUUAGCAAUGGAUGAGAUUGAGCUAUCAAAUUAUUGCUUUAUUUAAAUCUGGGAGACCUGAUGAAGAGUAGGCCACAUGAUACUGACCAAUUGUGGUACUCAAGAAUGGCUUGAUUUUCUGUUAAUAGCAGGGCAGUGCUGCUAUGUGGUUGUGAGCAGUAUACACUUCUUGUGUAUGCUUAUGGUUGUAUAUUUGUAAUGAUAUAGUAUUGAUAUUUUUUAUCUGUUUUUCUAUUUAAACUUUUUUGACCUAUAAUUGGCAUUGUUAAACUAAUAAAUACAGAUUUGACAAUUUACAUUGUAGUUGGUAACUUUGCCAUAUUGAAUGAAGUGCAUUUGACUCAUUUUGGUGCUGGUGAAUUACUUUAAUUUUUCAUGUUUGUUCUAUAUUGAUUUCUAAAUAAUUUGUAAUUCCGGUCGAUUAAUGGGAUUGUGUUAGAUUCUUAACGUUGUUGAAUUCCUAUGUAGAUAAACCUAUCUUUAGUUGCAAUCAUGAUAUAACACAAUAUAGUAAACACAUAUGAAAACACCUCAGAAAAUUGCUUUGCUAUCUUGUUACUAAUGGUUUCUUUGAAUCUCUCUUGUAGGCUCUCUCUUCAAUAUCACCCGGACAAGAACAAAAAUAAGGCCGCUCAGGAGAAGUUCGCUGAGAUUAAUAAUGGUAAAAAAAAUAAAAAGCACUUCUUUUUUUGUUUGUUUUAAGAUGCAGGCUUCUUAGUAUUCAAAUUCAUGAAGUUGAAUCGACAAACUUUCAACCAUCAGAUAGAUGAAUGAUUUAUUGUGAUUUUUUUAACCUUUGUUCUUGUUUUCAAACUGUUCACUGUAAACAAUGUUGAUUUAUGUCUUCUUGUUUCAUCAGCAUAUGAUAUUUUAUCUGAUGAAGAGAAGAGGAAAAAAUAUGAUUUGUAUGGGGAUGAGAAGGGCAGUCCUGGAUUUGAUGCUGGGCAUCCUGGGAAUCAAGGUGGGUAUACAUACUUCACAAGUGGUGGACCGGGACAAAGCCAGUUUACCUCUAGACCUGGUGAAUGGCAGAAUAUGGGGGGGCAGGGAAGUUCCCGGAGCUUUUCGUUUUCCUUUGGCGGUACUGGUGGUUCAAGUUCAUUUGGUUUUGGUCUAGAUGAUAUCUUCUCUGACUUUUUUGGCAGUAGUUUUGGAGGAGGACGCCAAUUUGGUGGUUUUAGUGGUUCAACUGGUUCUCAGUCUCAAUCUAGGAGUUCCUCUGGAAACAUCAGAGCCUUAAAUUUACAGGUCUUCAAGAAAGAAAUAGUGGAGAAAGGAAUGACUUGGCUUUUGUUUUUUUAUUCACCCUCCUCGAACAGGGAUGGCUAUGAAUCUGUGAUUGAGGAAGUUGCCAACUCAAUGGAAGGAGCUUUAAAGGUACUUAACUACUGGUCCAUUUUGGUGUGGUCUCCCUAUUUGAUCUUCUGUUGAUCGUUUCAAAUCUUACGAUCCUUUUGCUGUGACAGGUGGGAAGCAUAAACUGUGAAACAGAAGCAUCUUUGUGUAAGGAAUUAGGUGUUCAUCGCCCCAGAUCCCCGAGGAUUUUUGCGUAUUCAUAUAAAGCUGGUGACAAGGGUUCUUUAGUUGAGUACAAUGAGCAUUUGGUUGCAAAGAAUUUAAAAAGCUUUUGUCGAGACCACCUUCCUAGAUUUUCAAAACGGAUCAGCCUCAAUCGUAUUGAGUUUACUUUUGAUGCUAAGGCAAGAUUGCCAAGCGUGUUGCUUCUUUCCACCAAAAAGGAGACGCCCAUCAUUUGGCGUGUUCUCAGUGGCAUGUAUCAUGAACGAUUGAAUUUCUAUGACACAGAGGUAUAUUAUGGUGCUUACUGACUGGGUUUACUCUAGGAAACCCUCCUGUUUAAAAAUGUUUUUUGCCUUGUCAUUCUGAAAUCUUGGAAUUAUUGGAUUCUUUGUUUCUUCAAGGAAAAUAACUUGGUUCUUUCCUACUCUUUAUGAAUGAAUUUAUAAUUGCUAUUGUUAUGUUUAUCUAGGUUCAUGAUGUUUCUGAUCCAGCAGUAAAGAAGCUAGGAGUCGAUGCCCUUCCAGCUAUUGUUGGCUGGUUAUCAAAUGGGGAGAAAGAUGUUCUAAAAACAGGGAUAUCAGUGAAAGAUCAGAAAUCGUCAAUUCAUGAGCUCAGUAAAUUACUUGAUGGUUUUGAAAAAGAGAACAAAAAGGCAGCUUCCGCACGGGCUAGCAAAUCACAUAGUGAUUCAGCGGAGGAGCAGAUACCUCUGUUGACGCGCUCAAAUUUUGAUACUAUAUGUGGGGAGGCAAUUCCUGUUUGCAUUAUAGGUGCUUUCAGGUCUUCGAAUGCAAGGGGGAAGCUGGAAUCCAUAGUAUUAGAUGUAAGUAAUAUCAUCUCUAGUUGAUGAAUUUUUGCAGAAGUUGGAAAUCAGAAGCAGAAUUAUUGUUAUACUUUAUUUUGGAGAUGAACAUGGAGGAUGGUCAUGUUUCUUAAGCAUCAGUCAGAAUCUUCAUAUGUCAUUACUUUUUUAUUAUUUUAUUACAACAAUUGCAUGAGGGGGGAAUCCUAAAGAGUUAAAAGAAAUUCAAGUGCACUAGUUGACGCUUAAGAAAUUAAGUGCUGUAGGACUUCUUAAUUGGUAAAAUACAUGCAAUUCCAGAUUAUUGUUGUGCCAUUGGUUAGAUUUCUUGUGAUAGCAUAAGAAUUUUCAGGGUUGGGGGAAACAAAGGGAAAAAUAAAUAAUAAAAUACAUCCAUUUUUUAGUGGGUUUGGGUUGAGGUUUGUUUUAUGUAUUUUGUUCUCUUAACUACAAAGUCAUGCCCAGUUGAAAAAUUAAGCAUCUGCUCUGUAAACAACCUCGCUUACCAAAUUUGCAAAUUGAUCCAUAACCUUAGUUGCUCCUUAAUUUAAAGGCUUAUCUGAUAGUGUCUACGUGUUUAUGGGAGUUAUCUUUCUUCAGGAAUAUUCUUGAAAUUUUCCUGCGUUUACAUCUUAAAAGUUUGAAAUUCGAUUCACCGACUCUCAUUGUUACAUGCUUUGCACUUUCAGGUCUCUCAGAAGUCACUGUCUCGGCAUCAGUACUCUGCCUCUGGCUCUAGAAAUUCCAUAACUUACGCUCUCUUGGAUGCCGCCAAGCAGUCAUCAUUCCUAAGCGCAUUUGACAAAUCAGGAUUCAAAUCAUUGGGUAAAUUCUUGGUAGCCUAUAAACCCAAGAGGGGAAAGUUUGCAGUUUUUGCAGGUGAAAUGACCCCAGAGGAAGUUGAGAGAUUCAUUGGUUCUGUUCUUAAUGGAGAUGUACAAUUUUCUAAGACACGGCAUAAGCCUUUGAUCAAGUGAGAGAAACAUAAAUGGAUUGUGUUAACGGAAUGUGGUUUAUGAAUGUACAUAGCAGAGAGACUAGAAAGAAAUAUCGAUACAAAUUUUUUAUCUUCUAAACCUUGGCAAUGGUGCAAGUAUCUGGUGGUUUUGAAGGAGAUGCUACCAGGGUUAAUCAAGUGUGUGUUUUAGAAAUUUGAGUAACCGAAAAUUCAACGCAUUGGAGAAUUUUUCCGUGGAACAAUAGAUUUUUCUCAGAUGCACUUGCAUGGCUGUAAGGACUUUGUAAUAUUAUUCAUUUUUCUCUGGUUGAAGGAAAAUUUUUAAUUUCCUUUUUCCGUGUAAAGAGCAGUAGGCAGUUGCUGUGGGGUGGGGGGGAUAUUAUCAAGGGUGAUUGGGUGAUUCCUCUAUAUCUCCAUCCAAAGCUGAAGCCAACUGUACCUACUUAAUUACUUACAGUUUCCCCAAAGUAGUCAAUUUUGAUUUUUGAUUUAGGAAAAAUGAAGAUAUAUUUAAGAUUGUUAGUAAAAUCUGUGUUCGGUGUGAGCUACAUGACAUGUAUUUGUGUGACAUAUAAUAUAUUUAUUUAAGGUGAUGUCUUUAAUUUUUGGGACCUGAUUGACAUAUUUCCUCAAGGUUUACUAAUAUUUACAUGUUUAGUAUUUUAUCUUAAGUCUAUUAAUAUUUAUAAUCCGCCCGCAUUAGUUGAGAGAUAUGACUACUUAAUUUUUAAUUAAAAAUAAAUAAUAAUAAAUUUUCAAGUGGCGUCAUCAUAGGAUCUGUACUCAUUGUAUUUCUAAUAAACAGGGAAAAUUAUCAUUUGUCCAUCCGUCCAAAGUUUUAUUAAUGUUUGAACUUUAAAAAAUUUGAAUUAGUCCUGCAAUCUACUCAAAAUUUACAAAUUAUAUAAAUUUUCACCUUUCCAGUUUCCAUUACUAGUGUUUGAUCAUUUUAUCUCUAAGGUGCAAUUUAAGAAUGGAUGGAAAAUUGAUUUUUUUGCAAUCAUUGGGUGAAUUGUUGCUUUCUGUAUGUGAUGUUAGCAUGUUAAUAUCCAAAUUAUUCUCCGGACAUCAUCUAAAGUUAACGCCUGUUAACUCUGUAAGGUAAAAAAGUAAUACAAUUUAUAAAUAAUGGCUGAACUGUUGAAUGAAUUCAGAAUAUCCAAUAUUUUUUAAUAUUGACGAAAUAUCGAGUGAAUGAAUUAUAUAUUUUUUUCCUACAAGAUUGAAUAAAAAUUUGUAAAAAUAGUCAAGAGUAACCCUACUAGCACUCCUCUAUUUUUCUUAUGAAACCACCUUUUGUUAUGUGCUUAUUAUUUUAUCCUUUGUGUUUUAAUUUGUAUUAAAUCUAAAAUCUUGCUAAUUAAAUCUAAAUAUGAUUUUUCUCUCCACCUCUUUCUCCAUUAAAACCUUUUAAAAUUUAUUUUUUUGAAAAAAAAGUUAAUUGUAAAAGAAUAAGAAUUUGAUCUAAACUAUUUUUUUCACUUUAUUUUCAUAUAAAUCAUAUUUUUUGAAAAUUUUCAUAAAUUACUAAUUUUGUUAGGAUGUUAGGAAACGAUCAGCAUUGUGCGUAUCAUAUUUAUAUUUGAAAUGGAAUGUGAUAAGUGAAAAAGCAUAAACCUAAAAUAAAUGAAAGUUAGUAAUAAUAAAUUAAACUUAUGGGACUCAAAAUAUUGGGUUGCGAUCAACAAUUUUUUGCUACAAAAAGAAGAAACUUGAAUGAUGGGGGGUUGAAGACAGAAAACUGAAAGGGGUUUGCAAUUAAAUAGAGAGACUAGGGUUUAUUGAAGAAAAAACAAACAAAGACUCUGAAAAAUUAAAGUGGAUAAAAACAGAAGAGCGGGUUCAAAGGGAUAAUGCAGCGGUGCUAAUAGCACUACUCAAUAAUCAAUCCAUAUUAUCUCUAAACCUUUAAUAAAACAGAAACCCAAAAUCAACUGAACUGAAAACCCGGCCCAUGAUUAGUACAAUCUGGUGGUGUUAGCGUUUGGCGACGGGUUUUUUAAAAUAAAAGAGACUAAAAGCAAAGCACUGCGCCACCGCCAGCCAACGCGCUGCUUUAGCUUCUGGAAAGUGUCGUUUUAGUAGGUCUUGGUCAAGUAAGCUUCUUCUAUGUCCAUUUUUUAUUUAAGCUUAGUUGCUGUGUACUGUUUUCAUUAUACUCUUUGUAUAUUGAUGUGGGUAUUAGCUGCUAAGCUGUUUCCAUUCAGACAGUACAUCAAACAUGUUCAGUUAAUACCUUCCCGUUCGGUUUCAGCCCUCGCCCAUUUGAGGCUAAUCUGUUCAGAUUCUGAAUUAGAAGAGUCUAGUGUGAAUAACGAGCAUAAUGAUGAAAUUAAAUGUAGCUUUUCUUAUUUAAAUACAAGGGAGGUAGUUGAAAAGUUGUAUAGUCUUAGAAAAGAACCCAAAAUUGCAUUAUCAUUCUUUGAACAGUUAAAAAGGAGUGGGUUUAGUCAUAAUCUUUGUACUUAUGCAGCGAUAGUGAGAAUAUUGUGUUGUUGUGGUUGGCAAAAGAAGUUGGAGUCUAUGUUAUUGGAACUUGUUAGGAAAAAGACUGAUGCAAAUUUUGAGGCUACUGAUUUGAUUGAAGCGCUUUGUGGAGAAGGGUCAACUUUGCUGACACGACUUUCGGAUGCAAUGAUUAAGGCUUAUGUUAGUGUGGGAAUGUUUGAUGAGGGUAUAGAUAUAUUAUUUCAAAUUAAUCGGCGAGGAUUUGUUUGGUCAAUAUGUUCAUGUAACUAUUUCAUGAACCAGUUAGUUGAGUGUGGGAAAGUUGAUAUGGCUUUGGCUGUUUACCAGCAUUUGAAGAGGCUGGGGUUGAGUUUGAAUGAAUACACAUAUGUUAUUGUAAUUAAGGCCCUUUGUAAGAAGGGUAGUAUGCAAGAAGCAGUUGAGGUGUUUCUGGAGAUGGAAAAAGCAGGGGUAACCCCAAAUGCUUUUGCUUACUCGACUUGUAUUGAAGGGCUUUGUAUGAAUGGGAUGCUGGAUUUGGGUUAUGAACUGCUCUUGAAAUGGGAAGAGGCAGACAUUCCUUUGAGUGCCUUUGCUUACAUUGUUGUGAUACGUGGGUUUUGUGAUCAGAAUAAGCUGGAAAAAGCUGAAUGUGUGUUGCUUCACAUGGAAAAACAAGGGGUUGUUCCUGAUGUGUAUGCAUACAGUGCUUUGAUUUCUGGGUACUGCAAAUUUGGGAAGAUAAAUAAAGCUUUGCCUCUUCACCACGAAAUGACAUCAAAGGGUAUUAAAACAAAUUGCGGGGUAUUGAGUGUGAUUUUAAAAGGCUUAUGUCGAAAUGGCAUGGCUUCCGCAGCUAUAAAACAAUUUUUGGAGUUCAAAGAUAUGGGGUUUUUCCUUGACAAGGUUUGUUAUGAUAUAAUAGUGGACUCUUUAUGCAAACUUGGAGAAGUAGAAAAGGCAAUGAUACUGUUCAAGGAGAUGAAGGAUAGGCAGAUAGUUCCAGAUGUUGUCAACUACACAACUAUGAUUUGUGGUUACUGUUUUCAAGGUAAGCUUGGUGAUGCUCUGGAUUUAUUCAAGGAAAUGAAGGAGAUGGGACAUAAACCUGAUACUAUUACUUAUAACAUACUUGCUGGUGCGUUUGCUCAAUAUGGCGCUGUGCAAAAGGCGUUUGAUCUUUUGAAUUAUAUGAAGAGACAUGGUUUGGAACCUAAUUUUGUUACACACAACAUGAUUAUUGAAGGUUUGUGCAUGGGAGGUAGGGUGGAGGAAGCUGAAGCAUUUUUAGACGGUUUAAAAGGGAAGUGUUUAGAGAACUACAGUGCCAUGAUUAAUGGUUACUGUAAAACAGGUCAUACAAAAGAGGCCUUUCAACUAUUUAUGAGGCUGUCUAACCAAGGAGUCUUAGUGAAAAAAAGCUCAUGUAAUAAACUACUUACUAAUCUUCUUAUCCUACGUGAUAACAACAAUGCUCUCAAGUUGUUUAAGACAAUGAUAACUCUGAAUGCUGAACCCAGCAAAAGUAUGUAUGAUAAGCUCAUAGGUGCAUUAUGUCAGGCGGAAGAAAUGGAACAGGCACAAUUAGUGUUUGAUGUUUUAGUUGACAAAGGGUUAACUCCUCAUCUCAUUACCUACACAAUGAUGAUACAUGGUUAUUGCAAAAUAAAUUGUUUGCGUGAAGCUCGUGAUGUUUUCAAUGAUAUGAAGCAGAGAGGGAUCACUCCUGAUGUUGUAACUUAUACAGUUUUAUUUGAUGCUCAUUCAAAAAUAAAUCUAAAAGGUUCUUCUUCCUCGCCAGAUGCCUUGCAAUGUAAAGAAGAUGUGGUGGAUGCUUCAGUUUUUUGGAACGAGAUGAAGGAAAUGGGAAUAAGACCUGAUGUUAUAAGUUACACUGUUUUGAUUGCAAAGCUGUGCAACACACAAAACCUUGAAGAUGGUAUUACAGUCUUCAAUGAAAUAAGUGAUAGAGGACUGGAACCUGAUACUGUCACAUACACAGCCCUUUUAUGUGGCUACCUGGCAAAGGGAGAUCUAGAUAGGGCUAUAGCCCUUGUUGAUGAAAUGUCAGUCAAGGGGAUACAAGGAGAUGAUUACACCAAGUCUUCAUUGGAACGUGGCAUAGAGAAGGCCAGGAUAUUGCAAUAUCGGCAUUAAGCUGUAUGUUCAGUCUACGUGGGUAGAUGGACCAAACUCAUCUGCUGAAUCAGGUGCUUUAACAUAACAGAAUUUGUAUCUGCCAUUAAAUAGAAACACUUAGUGACAUUAAUUAUAGUGAGACCUUCAAGCACCAAGAUUUUCACCUUAAAGGCUCUUUUCAGAUUCAUUUGCACACUGGUCUAUUUUCUUAUUGGAUUCUGCUUUCAACUUAACAGAAUUCAACUUUUAAAAAAUCUUUAUUAGUUUCUUAAAAGGGCUAGCAAUAAAGCAAAAUAGCAUACUUAUUUGGCUACGAGGAUAGUUGUGUUUCCCUUCUGUAUAGUAAACUUACUGUUGGUGUCCUAGAUAAUGAACUUUAAAAAGUACUUUACAGCGUGAUUAUGCUUCAAAUAUGCCAUUGUUUAUGCUUAGUGAUUUACGCUGAUAGUAAAUGCUAUUUUUUAAAAUGCAGACCUCAGAUAACAAUUGCAACAGCAAUAAUAUUCAGUCAUCUGUUCUUCCUUCUGCAGUCGCUUGUAAGGAAUAAUAGGUAGGUGAGUUAUCUUCUUGAGCUAUAUUUAAGUGUUGUUUUUCUUAUCAGAGCCCGGUGGCAUUAGUGCCAUAACAUUAUUUAAUAUGAGUUAUUGAUAUAUGGUAGGAAACAAAGAAGGCUUUGGAUGUCAAAACCUACCCUGUCCAUGGUUUUGGGGCACUCUGGUAUUGAGUAGUUUCCCUGAAAUCUCUGUUUUUCAUCAUACACUGGCUUUCUAUACCUCUUCCAUUAUGUAGAUAGAAUACUGAAACUGCUGAAAUAUUGUUAUUGCAUAAAAAGGCCAAAAAAAAAAAAACCUAUGAAACUGUUUGCAGCAAGUUGGGCUUUUUGCAGUGACCACCUCAGAGAUGUGAAGCUUGUUUGCAUAAUCGUGAAGUACCAGUGUUAGGACUGCUUUGGCUGACUGGAUGUUUUCAUAAAUGCUGGGCAUGAAGUAGUAUCCUAAGAUGAGAGUUUAUCGCGAAAAUGAGGGUUUGGUUGUAUGUAAGUGUGGGUUCAGUUUUGUGUUUGUUGAUGAGAGCAUAGAUUGAGAAAUUAGUCAAUUACUUUUAUUGAAGCUUUUAUUAUCUACAAUGAGGAACUACUUAAAAUAGUUUAAUUAGUAUUUACGUCUGAUGUAGGAAGUAAAAUUGAGUUUUAGAAUGUCAUUAUGCUGAAAAAAAUUGACUGCUGGUGUUAGGAACUAUUAUUAGUUUUCUUAUAACCCAAUAAAAGUAACCGUGGACUAUUAAGAAAAAGCUUCAAUUGGAAAUUUGAUAUCAUGAUUUACCAUUUUUAAAAUUAAUACUGUUAUUAUUUAGUAUUUCUUAGUUUCUUCAAUAUCUUGGAUUUCAGUGUUGAUGCUGGACCUGGACUCUUGUCUCUUGCAGAAGUUCCCGACGGAUCACUGCAGCAUGGAGUUUUCAAGGGCCGUUGAUAAAUGCUUCAUCUAGCUGUGAAGUUAUUCAAUGGCAAAUAGUUGUGGACUGGAACCUUAAAGCCUGCACCAGCGUAACCAGUUUCUGAACACCCAGUAGCUGACAAUUAUUGGUGGACUCCAAGAAUCGGCCAAAGUCGGUGUAAUGACUGGGGAAGUGCAGAGUUGGAACUGCUACAAUAGAUGGUAAAUGCCUAUGGCAAAUGACGAGGCCUCUACUACGCUUCCCUGAGAGUACUGGUUCGAUAUCUUUCGGCUUCCAACCUCGUAAAAAAAUGAACGGCAAGGAGUUCUCUUUGUCAUAAACACUGUAGCUAGUGGGGACAUAAUAUAAUAAAUUACAAAUAUUAAUGUAAAAAGUAUAUUAAUUUGUUAUUUUGAGCUUUUUAUAACUUAAUUUAUUUUUUAUUUAUAAAUUAAAAAGACUUAGUCUCUUAAUCAAGUUAAAUCUACGUGCCCUUUAUAUUUUUGAGUUCAUAUUCAGAUUUAAUUUAUACGAAUUGAGUUUUUAUAAACUCUAAUAUGAAUUGUAUCGAAUCAAAACACAUUUCAUAAUAAUACUUUGAUGAUCCUUUUCUCCCUUUCUAAACAAAUAGUUCAUGAGGAAAUCAGUAUCAAUGAAUCUUGAGCCCUUUUAAGAAUUAGUGGUAAACCAUUAAAAUUCUCGAAAAUGACCAAUGAAAGCACAUAUCCUAGAACUUUCGAAUUUUUUCGGAGCACUUUCCAUUUUAUAUUUCACAUUUCCUAUCGGGUGUUACACGUAUGUGGGUCCCGAUGUAAUACAAUUUAUACCCACCCACGAGAUCGUGAGGGGGGAAUCCGACAGAGAUCUCGUUUGGUUUGGGUUUAGAUCAUGAAUCCAUAAUCGACACGUGAUUUCAUUGUAAGAGCAUCACCGUCAACAUCGCGGGAAGUGGAAACACCUUUAUUAUUAUUUUAACACCAUCCGAUUUGACCUUUUUCCCCUAGGCUAGCGGCGUGAUGUGUGCUAUUUGAAAUUCGACCACCUCUUUGGCUCUUACUUUCUAGUCCUUUGCGCUUGUGAUUACAUUUGAGAGAGCUUUGCUGCCACGCAUUACCGAGAAAAUGUUAAAUAAACUAAUCCAAAAAAAUAAAAUAAAAUCAAUUUUCAAUUAGGGUGUUCCGGUCCGUCUAAGCUUACAGUAGUUUUAUUUGAAAGCGGGACACGAGGGUUGAAACUUGAAUAUGGUUAUCUCUAGAAGUUAAGUUUUUGAAAUAUUCUAUGGCGAAACAAAGAAAAAAAAAACUGACAAUAUCAAACAAGACUGCUACAUGUCGUUACGCAUUGGACCUGGUUGGUUACUAUUACAGGCAACGUCCCAGAAAAAUUAACCUCAGACCACCUGCUUUGACCCGAACGCACUAGCCCCUGCUCGAGUAUUUCCACCUACUUUGUAAUGUUAUCACCGAUAAGCAACGAACAUAACUGAAAAUGGAUGGCUCAAAGACUUUGAGCAAGUGCCUCAUAAGUUAGAUUUACCCACGGAUUGUCGAAUUCACCCGGUGUUUCAUAUUUCCUUACUCAAACCUUAUGUGGGAAACUCCUCCAUUGACGUUUAUUCACAGCCUCCAGGAAGUGUGGAUGGAUAACAAGCCCCUUUCACUACCAAUUGCUAUAUGUGCUGAGCGAAAGAUACUUCGACAAGGUAAAGAAAUUCUACAAAUUUUGGUGCAAUGGUCUGAUAGCUCACUAGAAAAUUCAACUUGGGUUUACUUUGAGGAAUUUCGUAAACUCUAUCCUUGAGGACAAGGUACGCUUUCAAGGAAUGGGGAAUGAUACGACUUGGCCCAUUGCUGUGAAUCAGAUCGAGCUCAAGGAGAUAACAAGGGAAGAACCCAACCUACAAAAAUGGAAGAAACCCAACCCUUGAAUGAGACUCAAGCUAAAGAGCAGCUCAAGACAGGUCCAGCUCGAGCAAGAAAGAAACCAGGAUGGCUCAAAGACUUUGUUAUUUGAAGAAAGUUCAAGAAUAGUACUUUUAACUUCAAUAUUUGAAGAAAGAAACCAGGAUGGCUCGAGCAAGAAAGAAACCAGGAUAGCGUCAAUUUAAUAUUAAUAUUUUUUCCUUACAAGGUAAAAUGCCAAAUUUCCAAAAUAGUACUUUUAACUUCAAUUUUUUUUUUUAUUUUAUAAGAAAUUUCUUAUUUUAUAAGAAAUUUCUUUGUUUCUAAAUACUUUUAACUUCAAUUUUUUUUUUUAUUUUAUAAGAAAUUUCUUUGUUUCUAAAUUAUGUAUGAAAACUAAUUUAUUAGCAUGAUUAUCCAUCAUCAAUUAAACGAACAAAAUAUAUUUAUGCCAAAUGAUGAUUCGCUAGUCUUGUGAGAGAUAAUGAAAGCGGGUCACUACAACUUGUAGUUGGUUCCAUGAUUUUUUUUUUCUUCCAAUCUUGGCGUUUGGUAACCAUUUUCCGUUGACUCCUAUUAAUGUAAAAAUAUUUACCGUUGACUCCUGUAUUGAAUAUAUAAUAAACACAAGUAGAUUUGAGAUACCAUGAAUCCAUACAACAAUUUAAUAAUUCAUUCAUGAAUAUAUUCGGGUUGAAAACUAACAAAUAAGUGGAAAUCUUUUAACAUAAAAUUCACAUGUCAUAUUUUCAUUAGAUGAUUUUAUUAUCUAGUAUAUAUACUUUGGAUUUAAGAAAAAUAUCCGUAUUAUUUACUCUAAAGAACAUCAUGAAAAGACUUUUCAAAUAAUAUUGUUAAAGAGAAAAGAGUACUAUCUCAUUUAAAUAAUUUUUAUUUAAAAAGUUUUUGCAGGCUUCAUUUAAUAUUAUAUUUUUCUAUCUUCUUAUUCUUGAAGAGAGAUAAAGUGUUAUAAUAUAUUGCUAUUAUUUUGGUAGAGAAAUUUUUUUUAUAAAUAUAAUAUAAACUUAUUUUUAUUAGAGUAGUCUUUUAAGAGAUGAUUUAUUUUUUACACUUUUUUGUUUGCCGCAUAAGUAAGCAAAUAAAUAUUUAGAGAAUUAAAUUAAAAGACUCUUGGUUCUGCUCUAAACUUUUUAAAAUAUGUCUAAACGCGACACUGUUUUUAUAAGUUAUUAUAAUGUUAACUUUAUUAAUUAUUUUACUAUUUCAUCCUUUGUCUUCAAGUUCGGAAACAUAAAUAAAAUAAAAUAACUUUUAGUAAACAGAAUUAUUAUUAAAAGUGUAAAAUUAAAAAAAAGUGAAAUUAAAAUUUGUAACAAAUAAAUAUUAGUAAAAAAAAUACAAAAACAAUCAUUUUCAAAUUUCUCAUCUCAUCCGUCUCAUGGUAAACAAUACAAGAACAAUCAUCCUCAACUUAUUAUAAUUUAUAAUAUUUCCAUUUAUUUUAUAUAGUAAUUGUGUAAUUGUAAAAGAAUAGCUUCUCUCUUUAUUUUGUACAUGGUUAGAAUGAAUAAAAUCAUGACUUUGUUGUUUAAUCAUAUAAUAUUUUUGAACAAAGAAGAGCAAAAGAUCAAUCAUGAUUUUAACACUGAAAAUUCCUCAUUGAAAAACGUUGUCCACGACCGAGUUACUGAUAACGGCCGACCUUCCGCCCUCACUCUCUCACACUAGCCAAGUGGCACAAUGGAAAAGAAAAGUUGGCAUCGGCUAGAGGUUUCAAGAGUCAUUGUGGAUUGGCCGACAGCUCGUAUGCACCUUAGGAAAGUAGGAGAAAUUCUAAAAUACUCCUGAUAUAUUACAAUCAAUUGAUGUAUGCAUGUCAUGUGUAGUUGAAUUUAAUAUAACUACCACUUACAUGAUGAUUUUUUAAACUAAAUGCACACAUGUCAUAACAUCAUUUACUUAUUAUAUGACUGACGUGGUACCUCUAAUGUAUUCUAGAAUUUCUCGCGUAAGUAGACGCGACAUGCGUGAUGCGUGGAUAACUCGAAUCAACAAUCAAUCAAUUUAUUGUUCCGCAAGUCUUACUCAAUUGAGAAGACUAGUCCACGCAUAUAGUGAAGUCGCUAGCAGAAAAGAAUAGGAUAAUAAAAGACGAAAGAAUACUUUGAGAAUGCACUAUAUUUCCAUUUCUUUUUAACUUGAAUAUUUAUUAUCGUUUACAUGACUUGACAGGCUUGUUAUAUUAUUUUAUUUAGCAAUCACAUGGUCAUUGUCUGCACUACACUUUGUCUAGUAUUUCUGAGUGCUAGCUGAGUCACAAGUCACCUUAUCAUGUUUGUUGAGCUUGCCUGUCUUGCUUGAUAUGCUUUGUUCUAACACCAGCUGUUUCCUUGGAACCAACUCUCAAAGACUCUUACUACUUUUAUAAGGAAGUCAACCUCUCGAUUGUAAGAUAAAAUUUUACGUGGAUAUGAAGGCAGACACGAGGGGACACAAUCCUUUUUUGAAUCGUGAUUGAGAGAAAUUUUAGAAUACAUCUGUUGUACCAUAUUAACCAUACAACAAGCAAAUAAUGCAAUAACACGUGUAUUUAUUUUGUAAACUAUUACUUAGUGGUAGUUGUAUUAAAGUCAAUUACACGUCAUACAUGCAUUAAUUAGUUGUAAUACAAUAUGUAUAUUCUAAAAUUUAUCAAUGAUUGGAUACAUUAAAAGUUAUUGGCCCGCAAAAGGGAAAUGUCCUGCUCAAUUAGAUGUUAAUAUGGCUAAUGUAUUUUUGGAAGCAAUGAAAGCUCUUCCGGCAAAGCAACUGCACUAGCUCUAUUUACUCUAAACCGUAUAUUGGUCGCUGAUCUCUCAUUGCUCUAGAUAUAUAAUGGGUUUUAAAAUUUUGCUUGGUUUCGUUUCUUACAUGCUUCUGAGUAUCAUUCGUCUUACCUCCGGUCAGACAUGCUACGAUACAGGAAACUUCACCACUAAUAGUACCUACGGUAAGAAUCGGGACCUGUUUCUCUCAUCUCUUGCUUCUACCGUAACCGCGAACAAGGGUUUCUACACUGCCACCAUUGGCCAGAUUCCCGACGAAGUUUACGGUCUUGCACUCUGCAGAGGAGAUUCUUCUCCAGAAUCAUGUGCCAGCUGCCUGAAUUUCACAGUUCUUGAUAUGAUGAAGAACUGUCCGAACCAAAAAGAAGCAAUUUCAUGGGAAGGAAUGGAUUUUCCUUGCGUUGUCCGCUAUUCAAGCCGCUCUUUCUUUGGAAAACUAGAGCUGAAACCCACAGAAAUCGCCCAUAAUGUAAAUAAUAUCACUUCAAGUUUGACACAGUUUGAUCGGAUCUGGAGGAGUUUAAUGGAUCGCGUACUGGCAAAAGCUUCUUUGGGCACUUCCAAGCUCAAAUUUGCAACUGAUGAGGCAAAUUUGACAAGCUCUGAAACGAUAUAUGCACUAAUGCAGUGCACUCCAGAUAUAUCCCAGAGUGACUGUGAAUUUUGUCUACGUCAAAGUAUGGCUGAUGUGCAGAGUUGCUGUUAUGGGAAGAAAGGAAGUUAUAUUAUGGGACCCAGCUGUAUAUUUCGCUGGGAAAUGUAUCCAUUCUAUGGAGCUACUGCUGAUUCUUUAUCGCCAUCUCCUCUGAGUCCACCCAGUACUACUACUGAUACGACAAUCGCCAAAGGUAUUUUCACGCCCGCCGCCGCUGUUAGUAUCUCACUAAUAUCCAAUCUCGACACGAGUUAACAGUCGCGCAUAUCUUUAUGAUUUAUUUUUGCAGACAAAGGCGGCAAUAGCAUUUCAUCUGGAACUGUCGUAAUCAUUGUUGUUUCUACGAGUACUUUCAUCAUUGCACUUGUUGCUUUGAUCACUUGUGUCUUUCUACGAAGGAGGAAGAAGAAGCAGAAGCAGAAUCUCAGAAAAGGUUAGUUAAUUAUGUGUUUUCUCCCCUGUUAUUAAAAGGUAAAAUUUUACAUAUGCUACAACCAAUAAAACGACUUCCACCGAAGCAAAGAAACUAAUAUGCUGUCAUUAGAAGUUGCCCGUUGUGUUCUUCUUUAAUAAAGAUUUUUUUUGAAAUUGUUAUUAAUUUUGUACAAAUCUAUAUGCUAACUUAUCACUAUUUUGAAGCCGAUGAAAUCAAUACUGUGGAAUCCUUGCAAUUUGACUUCAGCACCAUCAGAGAUGCAACAAAUAACUUCUCCACAGAUAAUAAGCUUGGACAAGGUGGAUUUGGUGCUGUUUACAAGGUACUUGAACCAUUACAUGAACGUCGAAAAUAAUACUGAUCGUUAGUGCAAAUCAUUUGGCACUUACCCUGUUUUGUUUUGUUGGUAAAAUGAUUUCAGGGAAGGCUUUCACACGGACAGGAAAUAGCAGUAAAGAGGCUGUCUAAAAAUUCGGUUCAAGGAGAACUAGAAUUUAAAAACGAGGUCCUAUUGGUGGCCAGGCUUCAACAUAGAAAUUUGGUUAGGCUUCUAGGUUUCUCCUUUGAAGGAACCGAAAGGCUUCUCAUCUAUGAGUUUGUGCCUAAUUCAAGCGUAGAUAAAUUUAUAUUUGGUAAUGGUUGCACGUUUCCUUUUAAGCUUUUAAAGAUAUUAUUCCAGUUAUCCUAAUUCACUCAUAUUGCACUUUGUUGUUUAGAUGCUUAUAUAAUAAUUAAAAUGAUCUCGUUAAGGCAGAUAUCAUGAAGGACCCUAUUAAUCCCCACUGAAAUUGAUAGCAUCUAUACAUAAUUAAAUUCUCUUGACAUCGAUGCAAAUUUUCAAUGCAUCAAAUGUUGCUAUUCUUGUUUGUGUAAUAUCUCCUGUAGCCUGCUGUUUAUUACCCUUUUGCAACCAAAAUUAUAAGUUUUGUGGCUUUUGUAAAUUGGUAGAUGCAAUCAAGCGCGUGCAACUAGAUUGGGAAACUCGACACAAAAUCAUUGGGGGUAUAGCUCGAGGAAUUCUUUACCUUCACGAAGAUUCAAGGUUACGGAUCAUUCAUCGUGACCUCAAAGCAAGUAAUAUUCUUUUAGACGCAGACAUGAUUCCAAAAAUUUCAGACUUUGGAAUGGCAAGGUUGUUUGAAAUGGAUCAAACUCAAGGCGAUACAAGUAGAAUUGUCGGGACCUUGUAAGUAUACGGAGAUUAACUUCAGAUUGUUCAUUUUAUGUUUGAAGUCUAAAAUUAUAUUGACAAUUUUUUUUUUAUUAUUUUCAGUGGUUACAUGGCUCCAGAAUAUGUAACUCGAGGACACUUCUCCAUAAAAUCUGAUGUUUUUAGCUUUGGUGUGUUAGUCUUGGAAAUCAUCAGUGGUCAAAAGAAUAAUAGUUUCCGUAUUGGAGAGGAGGCAGAGGACUUACUGACUUACGUAAGUAAUAAUCAUCAUAUAUUAUACGUAAGUCUGAAAUGUUAAGAGAUCAAACAAAACAUUUAACGCCGCCGUUGUAUUUUUCUCUAGGCAUGGAAAAAUUGGAACGAAGGAACAGCUUUAAAUCUGAUAGAUCCCACACUGAGGAACGGUUCCAGUAGUGAAAUAAUGAGAUGCGUCCACAUCGGAUUGCUAUGUGUUCAAGAAAAUGUUGCAAAUAGACCAACCAUGGCUUCAGUUGUUGUCAUGCUUAAUAGCAGCUCUCUCUCCCUGCCACUACCUUCGCAGCCUGCAUUUUUUAUGCACUCUACAAUGGAGCAGGAUAAUUUGGAAUUCACCUCAUCUGAUCAAUCUAAAAGCGGUUCCAUUCAUUUUACAGUCAAUGAAGUUACAAUUAGUGAGCUAGACCCUCGCUAACUUUCAGGGACAUAGGCUCUAUCUUUAAGCAAGUUUGUACUAUGAUAUUUUGUUGUAUGAGAUGAAUUUGGAUAGAUGCUAAUCUUUUGAAGAUUUUGUGUGAUUGCGUAUUGUUAAUUACUUAUAGAAGAUAAUUGAGAAUUACUUACAUAUAUAUUCUUAUCAAAUUAACUAAACAUCACAACUUUGUAUGUAACAAGAGUAGUUUAAAGAUUAUAUCAUCAAAUCAAUGUAAAUCUUGUCCCAUAAAUGACUUUGAUUUUUGUCUUCAACAAAAAAUUAAUACAAAGUUCAAAAAAUAUCUAAAGUGGAAGAUUGAUUCCAUGGCAACUAUUCAUUCCUUUGUUCAAGUUGAAUGUUAACAAAAACCGUGGCCAAAAAUCACAUACAAUUUCUUUAAUCUUUACUUUGUUUCAAGCACUCCCAUAACAAUCGCCGUGUGUUUCGUUAAAAGAUUUUUAUUAGUCUUGAAAAUCAGUGAAUAUAAAAGAUUUUAUAUUCGAGCUAACUAACUAAAAAAAUAAUAAUAAUUAUAAAACAGGGAAAAUAACGUAGCAGAUAAGAUUAGCUGCAGUAUGCUCAGCAUGUUUACCUAACGGCAACUAAUGCUGAGCUGGCACUUAAGCAUACCAACAGCGGACAUGGUUGGCACUUGGUCAAACCCACGGUGACCUAGCUUCCUUGACACGUAUUAAUAGUACGAAAAUGCGACUGAAUGCUGAUAAAUUAAUUAAAAAUAAAUAAAAUGUUGACACGAGUAGACUUUCGGUUCGCGAAGUCAAGUCAAGCCAACUAAUUUUUCACUCGAGUCAUCUCAAAAAAAAAAAAAAAACAAAAACAAAAAUUUUCAGUUGAUCAAGUCUUUUGACACCCCUUUAAAUCCCAUAUAAAACUCAUCUUUAACUGAAAAUUAUUUAAAUAAAUAAAGAUAAAUUCAUUUAUUUUUUAUUUUGAAUUAAAAUUCAAUCAAGCACAUAUACAAAUUAUUUUUUAACAAUUUUUACACCACUCUAUUUCAUAAUUUAUAUUUAUAUUUGAUAUUUUAAUUAAAAAUAUUUUUUGAGAAACUUUUAAGAAUAUAAAAUUAUGAAAAGAUAUUAUAUAACAAAAAAAAAACUUAAAAUUUUAGUAUUUAUAUGCAUUUAUAAUUAAAGGCUCUAAAAAAAUAUUAUUUUCAAGGUGAAAUUUAAUGAAAAGAUUAAUGAUUUUAGUUUAUGGAAUAGUAUUUUAUAAAUUAAGUUGAGAAUACUUUAGGGAAUAAAAUCAAAAGGGACGAUAUAAGGCUUUUUGGGAGUGUUAAAAGCUCCACUAUUUUCAGUUUACUCAAGGAAAACACGAAGCCCACCCUAGGAGAGCCCAAUUGGCCCAAUUAGCCAUUGCCAACCAGCAUGCGCAUAUAAUAAGCAAGCUGCCCCUCUAAAUUGGAAAACUUUUUUUUUUUUUUUUUGUUUCUGCCCCUCAAUUCUCUUGAGUUUAGAUCAUGAUAAAUUCUACCGAGGCGAAGCCAAGAUUUUUUUUUUUUAAGUAUGCUAUAAUUAAUUUUAGUCAAUGUAAUAAUUACGACAUUUUUUAUUUAAAAAAAAAACUAAACGUCAAUUAUACAUUUAUAAGAAAUAUCUACUACAAAAAUGAUACAUGAAAUGUAUCCAAUAGAAUAACUUGUAUCCUAUACCUAAAAAAAAAAAGAAAAAAGGACAAACACACCCCCCAACGUUUAGACAAAGGGAUAAAAACUCCCCUAAAGUUUCAAAAAAGAUAUUUAUACCCCCAUUCACUAACGGAAACCAUUACUUUUAACGGAAAUAGUAAUUUUAAUGUAUAAUUACCAUUAUACCCUUAUAGCAUAUAAAAAUAAUUAUUGAUUGUCCAUUUUAAGUCUUUUGACACCCCUUUAAAUCCCAUAUAAAACUCAUCUUUAACUGAAAAUUAUUUAAAUAAAUAAAGAUAAAUUCAUUUAUUUUUUAUUUUGAAUUAAAAUUCAAUCAAGCACAUAUACAAAUUAUUUUUUAACAAUUUUUACACCACUCUAUUUCAUAAUUUAUAUUUAUAUUUGAUAUUUUAAUUAAAAAUAUUUUUUGAGAAACUUUUAAGAAUAUAAAAUUAUGAAAAGAUAUUAUAUAACAAAAAAAAAACUUAAAAUUUUAGUAUUUAUAUGCAUUUAUAAUUAAAGGCUCUAAAAAAAUAUUAUUUUCAAGGUGAAAUUUAAUGAAAAGAUUAAUGAUUUUAGUUUAUGGAAUAGUAUUUUAUAAAUUAAGUUGAGAAUACUUUAGGGAAUAAAAUCAAAAGGGACGAUAUAAGGCUUUUUGGGAGUGUUAAAAGCUCCACUAUUUUCAGUUUACUCAAGGAAAACACGAAGCCCACCCUAGGAGAGCCCAAUUGGCCCAAUUAGCCAUUGCCAACCAGCAUGCGCAUAUAAUAAGCAAGCUGCCCCUCUAAAUUGGAAAACUUUUUUUUUUUUUUUUUGUUUCUGCCCCUCAAUUCUCUUGAGUUUAGAUCAUGAUAAAUUCUACCGAGGCGAAGCCAAGAUUUUUUUUUUUUAAGUAUGCUAUAAUUAAUUUUAGUCAAUGUAAUAAUUACGACAUUUUUUAUUUAAAAAAAAAACUAAACGUCAAUUAUACAUUUAUAAGAAAUAUCUACUACAAAAAUGAUACAUGAAAUGUAUCCAAUAGAAUAACUUGUAUCCUAUACCUAAAAAAAAAAAGAAAAAAGGACAAACACACCCCCCAACGUUUAGACAAAGGGAUAAAAACUCCCCUAAAGUUUCAAAAAAGAUAUUUAUACCCCCAUUCACUAACGGAAACCAUUACUUUUAACGGAAAUAGUAAUUUUAAUGUAUAAUUACCAUUAUACCCUUAUAGCAUAUAAAAAUAAUUAUUGAUUGUCCAUUUUACCCAUAUUGUUAAUAAAAUUACAAACAUAUCCUUAUUGUCCAAUUCUUCUAUUUAAAUUGUCAAAAUUUCUCUUCAAAACAAACAAAUUUAAUUAUUAUUCAAGAAUAAAAAUAAAUAAGUUUAAAUUUUUGUCAAAUGUAUUCUUCAAAUUAAAUAAAUUUAAUUAUUAGUUAUUAAUGCCAUAAAAAAUAAUAAUUUCAUUAUUAUUUUCCACAAUUGCAUAUAGAGUAAUUUAUUGUUUCCAUAUAUUGUAUAAUAACAUGAUUAGUUGAAGAAUCUGACUUAUUUCCAUGCAUCGGUAAAUUUAAUCAUUACUCAAAGAAUAAAAAUAAAUAAAUUUAUUUUUUUGUUAAAUUUUUUCUUCAAAUCAAAUAAAUUUAAUCAAUACUCAAAAAUAAAAAUAAAUAACACGAGUCAUAUGCCAUAAAAAUAAUAAUUCUCCACAUGUCAACCGAAAAAAAAAAUGGUUACAACAAUAAUCACAAAAUCUUAAUAGUAGUAAAUAUUGUAUCAAAUUGGACUAAUAAACAUUACAAUAAUAACCAUAAUAUCUAUAAAAAAAAUCUGUUCACAAAUUUGUAUGACAACUCUGACUAUUAGCCUGUGGACUUCCUCUCAUAACUUGUGUGGUUGUUGCUGCACAAUUAAUAUAUAAAUAUUAGUAUAUAAACUUUAUUUUUUCAUAUAACAACCAAAAGAUAAAAAAGUAGGAUUACCUGAGGGGUGUUGAGUGGAAUCCAGUGGCACAUUUUUGCAUACUCUUUUAUUAUGGCCGAAAUUGGUACAAUUACCACAUCUUUGCUUGGUCUUUCUUUCCCCUUGUUCCCCUGGCUCUCUUCUUCUUACUAUUUUAGGCCUACCAACUCUUGUUUUGACAUAUGGAAGUAACACUUUUAAACCUUCAACAACAGCCCAUGGACUUUGAUCUGGAAGUGGAUGUAUGAUACUUGCAUAUGUGGCCAAAUAUGCUGCCACUGUCAGUUUUUUGUCCAUAUAAUCAGCAGGAUCCUCAUGUAUUUGAGCAAUACAUGGCAUGAUAUGUUUACAUAGUAUCCCACAAAUUUAAUAGACACCACAAUCACAAGUUUUAUUCUACAAAUUAACUAAAAAUGUUUUAUUAUUCACAUCCAUUACCUCAAAUUCAUACUCACUAGCCAUAAUCACCCUUACAAAUCUUCCUUCUUACCUAGAAACAUUCAACUUUCUCCUCACGAUUGGAGGUAGCUUCCCAAUCUAUUUUCUUGCAUUAGAAUGCCUUUUAUACAAUCUUUUCAUAACUUUCUUCCUAAUGAAUUCCAUAAGUGUCAACACAGGCUUGCCUCUGCAUUCAUUUAACCAGCUGUUCCAUGACUCAAAUAAGUUGUUGGUUACAUGAUCAACUUUUACAUCAUCAGGAAAUGCAUGUUUGGCCCACUGUUUCUUGUCAAUCUUGAUCAAAUAAUCAUAAGCAGCUUGUGUGUCUUUUUUAGCUGUUUUUAUUUUAUUCAUGUUGUCUUCCCAUUCAUCUGCACUAGUGGCUCUUGCUGCUGCCCAAAAUAGGUUUCUGUAGAUGAUAUCAGGAUGAUUACUUCUUAAGUUAGCAAAUAUAUGUCUGGCACAAUGCCUCACUGUUGCACCAUGCCAAUAUGCUUCUAAGCCUACCAAUAUUCCUUUUUGCCUAUCUGUCAUAAACGUCACUUGACUCUAAUUCUCUAUGUUCAAACACUCACUCAAUAUUGCCAAAAAACCAUUUCCAACUUCUAGCACAUUCUGAUUUGCAAAUACAAACAAUAAUUGGAAAAAUUCCACUGUUUGCAUCUAAUGCCACAGCUGACAAUAGCACACCUCCAAAAGGCCCUUUUAAAUGACAACCAUCCAAUCCAAUAAACCACCUACAUCCAUUGAUGAAUCCAUUCUUCAAACCAGCAAAGCUAAACAUAAACCUCUGAAACUUCAAAGCGGGUCUUCUAUCUUUAUCAAAACUAGGCACAAAUUUCAUCUUUACUAACACAUCGAGAUUUCUCUGUUUAAGUAUUUGGGCAUAAUCCCUUAGCCUCGGAUAAGAAUGUACAUAGUUCCCAUUUAAUUUAUCCAUUGCUCUUUUUUUGGCCCUAUACAAUUUCUUCAUGCUUGCUUUAGUCCCGAAAUUGGAAAUCAACAUCUUUAAUUGCCUUCACAGGCAUUUUUGGGUUAUUCUUCAAAGUUCCCUCAAACUGAGAGGCUAUCCAUUUAUAUGAUGCCUCUUUGCUCUCUAACACUCCAUGACACUCAUGUACAUCAUUUAGCUUUUGAAUUUUGAAUUUUAUCCCAGAUUCUACUUGUGCUGCAUAAAUAAACCACAGAUAACCCUCAUUCGAGCACUUUGCUCUCAACAUUCUCUUCUCAUUCUUGAUCUUGUUAAGAUCAAACCCAUGCUUAAGAACAUAGUUUUGAAGUACUCUUCUGAAAUGUUGGACAUUGUCAAACUCUUGCCCAACAAUAAAUCCAAUCAUUUCAUUAUAGGUUAAAUCUUGAAUAAUGAAAUGAAAGCUCAUCUUCAGAUUCUGAAAGCAGGCCAUGUUCUCUAUCUUCUGACUCACAAUUGGAAAGAAUUCUAUCUCCUUCUUCACUAUCUUCACAAUCCACUUCUUCACCGCCUUCAAUAUGCCCAACAUCCACUCCAUCGUCAUCCCAAUUUAAUUCAUAUGCCGGUUUUGAAUCGUCAAACAUGCUUAAUAAUGCUUCUUCGUUUGGUAGUAUCUCCUUUGUUCUAGAGGGUAGAGGCUAGAGGCCAGGCAAUUGUUCAACUUUUAAUUUUCAUUCAACCAAUAAUGAUGAGAAAUACAAGGAAAAAAAAUGUGUCGUGUUAAGCUCCCAAAUAAACUCAAAGUUGGCAUCCCACGUCCAGUUAUUGAUAGCAAGGUUUAGGUUUUUUAAAAGUUCAUUUAAAUUUAGACGGAUUUGGGCAGUGCUUGAGCUAGGCUUUCUAUUAAUUUUAAAAUAAACUUUUAGUAAAAUUAAAAAAAAUUGAAUGAAAAAUAAUUAUUCAAUACAUAAUAGAAUAAUAAUUUAAUACACAGAAUAUUAAUAACAUAACAUAAUAAAUUAUAAAUAUUAAUGUAAAAAGUAUAUUAAUUUACUAUUUUGAGCUUUUUUUAACUUAAUUUAUUUUUUAUUUAUAAAUUAAAAAGACUUAGACUUUUAAUCAAGUUCAAUCUAUGCGGAUUUUAUAUUCUUGAGUCCAUAUUUAGAUCUAAUUUAUACUAAUUGAGUUUUUAUAAACCCUAAUAUGAAUUGUAUCGUAUCAAAACACAUUCCAUAAUAAUAUUUUGAAUUUUGAUGAUCCUUUUCUCCCUUUCUAAACAAAUAGUUCUUGAGGAAAUCAGUAUCAAUGAAUCUUGAACCCUUUGAAGAAUUAGUGGUAAACCAUUAAAAUUCUCGAAAAUGACCAAUGAAAGCACAUAUCCUAGAACUUUCGAAUUUUUUCGGAGCACUUUCCAUUUUAUAUUUUACAUUUCCUAUCAGGUGUUACACGCGUGUGGGUCCCGAUGUAAUACAAUUUAUACCCACCCACAAGAUCGUGAGUUGGGAAUCCAACAGAGAUCUCGUUUGGUUUGGGUUUAGAUCUUGAAUGCAUAAUCGACACGUGAUUUCAUCGUAAGAGCAUCACCGUCAACAUCAUGGAAAGCGGAAACACCUUUAUCAUUUUUAACACCUUCCGAUUUGACCUUUUUUUCCCCAAGCGGCGUGACGUGUGCUAUUUGAAAUUCGACCACCUCUUUGGCUGAUUGGCUCUUACUUUCAAGUCCUUUGUGCUUGUGAUUACAUUUGUGAGAGCUUUGCUGCCACGCAUUACCGAGAAAAUGUUAAAUAAACUAAUCCAAAAAAAUAAAAUAAAAAAGUUUUAUAUUUCAAUUUUCAAUUAGGGUGUUCCGGUCCGUCUAAGCUUACAGUAGUUUUAUUUGACAUUUUACCACCUUUUUUUUUUUGGUUGCAUAUUAUUAAUUUUUCGUUAAAAUUUUUAAGUUGUUUAUCGCAUAUUUCAAUAAAGAGUUUGUUUUAGUCAGACCCUAAAUUAAGAGGUCGGUCAGGCGCACCAACCCCAUUACUCGUACGACGAUAAAGAGUAAAAUUUUUAGGCUCGCGAGAAAAAUUAAACUUAAAAUCUCAAUACAAUAAAGUGUCAGAUCCCAAACCUUCAAUCAAUUAAACUACCCUUUACGAGAAAGGUCAUAAACAUAAUUUCACACACACAUAUAUAUAGCCAAAUAAGAUCGAUAAAAAUGGCAUGGUAGUUUCUACUCCCACGAGCUUAUAACCAGCAGCAGCAGCAGCAUUGAUAAAUUAAAAAAAAAAAAAAACCCCAAAUAAUGAUAGCUUCAGAUUUACUAAUCUUCAUCUGACCAAUUGAAUCGUUGGAUUGUUUAUCCAGUCGUUUACAUUUUUUGAGUUUUACAUUUUACUCUUGAAGAAAAGAGAUCGUAGGAGAGCUUGUUGACCGAAGCAUGGCAUUGGGCCGUACGGUUAGCGUUGGGCGCGAGUCAAAGGAAAGCAGCCUUAUUUCUUGUCUCUUGACUUGUCCUAAUUAGUAAUUUCGGCAGCAGUGGUUUUGUAGCGGCGAUCCUCACCGACAAUUACGGGCUUCGUGUGCAUGCAACCCACAUGGCGCAUGGUUCGUUCUGCCCCCUCUAUGUCAGAAAAUUAUAAUUUUGGGAUCGGGAUCUUAACUUACCAUCAGCAAAACCAAAAUCAAAAUCAGUGGUCUAAACUUACAACUUGCUUCUGACUUCGAACGGCGACGUUAAGAGCUUUAUUGGGCAAAUGGCCAAAUGGGAUUGUUAUUUAUUUAUUUAUUUAUUUAUUCAAAUCACGAAACGAGGUUCAAAAACCAUGGUACAUCUGGACUGUUGACGCGUUUGACUUGGACCCUUUUCUAUUUGCAUUUGGUUUUCGCUAGAAUCUUUACAAUUUUGAACCGCAAGAAUAGCUUCUAAUUAUUGAUCAAGUUGUAAUCAAAUAAUGAUGAUUUAUUGGUUGAUGUAUUCUAUUUGCAUUUGGUUUUGGCAAGAAUCUUUGCAAUUUUGAAUCGCAAGAAUAGCUUCUAAUUUUUUUUUAUGAAGUUGUAGUCAAACUUGAGACCCAAGGAAAAAAAAAAUUGUGCCAAAAAUGGAAUGACGUAGAGGAUACAGGAACCUUAUAUAUAUAUAUAAGAGAAAGUUUAUGAUACAUGUGAGGUAAUAAAAGUCGAAUUUUAUGGUAAUAGCUCGAUUCCAUUUAAUUUUAAUUAAUUAAAAUAUUUUCUUAUAGGGCCUACCAAAAUAGUUUUUUUGAAGUUUUAAUAAUUUUCUAGUACUUCCCAUUCGAAUCCAACAUGCUCACUUUCUAGUAAACCCUUAAAAAAUAAUAAUUUUUUUUAAAAAAAACUUUCCUCGUACAGGAGAAAACCAUUGACUAGGAUAAAAUAACACUUACACCCCCCUAAUUUAUUGCCCUUCACAAAAUCGCAUUAGUGGAGCCCGGUAAAAAGAUAAUAGGACCUAUGAUACGAAAAUGAAUAAACUAUUUGCAAAAGCGUAAAUAUCUAGGGCCUCAAUUAUCAAUUUCUUAUUCCCCAAACAAAAUCUUUCCCUCGAAACCGCCCCUGGUUUCAUGAUACAUAGAUUCAUAGCAGUAACAUUCCGUUGCUUGCUCCCAGUCACAAACUCACUAUAAAAUCUCUCUGGCAAACGCCAAUUUCAUUCGUUCAUCGAACACUUGUCACACUCUAGAAGUUCAAAAAAAAAAAAAAACAUUUCUCAAAGACACUUUUCGGAAACACAUUAACAAACGGACAAUUCUUCGUCUCCGGCCCUUCAAUCAAUCAUGGACACUAAAAUUGGAUCACUCGACACCUGCAAGCCCCCAUGCAGCGACUUAGCCAGCCCGCCAAACGGUGCCGUUUCAACAAUCCAAUCCUCCGUUCCCGCUACUCCACUCGUCAACCCGUCCGAGUCGACCCUCGGCCGCCACCUCGCUCGCCGGCUCGUCCAAAUCGGCGCCACCGACGUCUUCUCGGUCCCCGGCGACUUCAACUUGACGCUUCUCGACCACCUGAUAGCCGAGCCCGGGCUCAACUUGAUCGGUUGCUGUAACGAGCUGAAUGCCGGAUACGCUGCCGAUGGGUACGCUCGCUCGCGUGGGGUCGGCGCCUGUGUCGUGACCUUCACCGUUGGUGGGCUUAGCGUGCUUAACGCUAUCGCCGGUGCUUACAGUGAAAAUCUGCCGUUGAUUUGCAUCGUUGGUGGCCCAAACUCCAAUGAUUACGGAACCAACAGGAUCCUUCAUCAUACCAUUGGCUUGCCUGAUUUUAGCCAAGAACUCAGAUGCUUUCAGACUGUCACCUGUUAUCAGGUAACGAUAGUAAUAAUUUAUUUAAAAAAAAAGCUUUCUUUCUUUAUUUUUAUAACUUAAUAACUGAAAAGUUUCCUUUUUUUUUGUUUUUAAAAAAAAGAUCAAGCAUUGAUAUUAUUAAUAUAUAAGCUUGACUGGUUUUUGAUGAUGGGUAUGAUAUUUUUGAUAGGCUGUGGUGAAUAACUUGGAGGAUGCACAUGAGUUGAUUGAUACGGCAGUAUCAACUGCUUUGAAAGAAAGCAAGCCUGUUUAUAUCAGCGUUGCUUGUAACUUGCCUGCGAUUCCUCAUCCUACUUUUAGCCGAGAGCCCGUUCCAUUUUCGCUUUCUCCCAAGUAAGAUUUUCAGCUCGUUCUCUUUAUCAUCAGGGAUUUAUUUGACUUACUUUCAGGUUUUUGACUGAUUAGUGGCAAUUUUUGUUUUGGCGGGGUAGGUUGAGUAAUGAGAUGGGCUUGGAGGCUGCAGUUGAGGCAGCAGCAGAGUUCUUGAACAAGGCGGUGAAACCAGUGUUGGUUGCUGGGCCCAAAAUGAGAGUGGCCAAGGCUUGCAAUGCUUUCGUUGAGCUUGCUGAUGCUUGUGGCUACGCCGUUGCGGUGAUGCCAUCAGCGAAAGGGCUAGUACCAGAGCACCAUCCCCAUUUUAUUGGAACUUAUUGGGGUGCCGUGAGCACUGCUUUUUGUGCUGAAAUUGUGGAAUCUGCUGAUGCUUAUUUGUUUGCUGGACCUAUAUUUAAUGACUAUAGCUCGGUUGGGUACUCUCUUCUUCUCAAGAAGGAGAAGGCAGUCAUUCUGCAGCCUGAUCGUGUGGUGAUUGCUAAUGGACCGGCAUUUGGUUGUGUUUUGAUGAAGGAUUUCCUCAAAGCACUUUCAAAGCGGCUCAAAAGCAACACUACUGCUUAUGAGAAUUACCACAGGAUUUAUGUUCCUGAGGGGCAACCUCCGAAGUGUGAACCCAAAGAGCCCUUGAGAGUGAAUGUUCUGUUCCAACAUAUACAGAAGAUGCUGUCUAGUGAAACUGCUGUGAUUGCUGAGACAGGGGACUCUUGGUUUAACUGCCAGAAACUGAAAUUGCCUAAGGGAUGCGGGUGAGCAUAAGAAAAUCUGAUUCUUCAUGUUUGCUGGUUCUAAACCUUCUAUAAAAUUUACCAAAUAAUGAGAAUUUGGUUUUGCAGGUAUGAGUUCCAAAUGCAAUAUGGAUCAAUUGGUUGGUCUGUUGGUGCUACUCUUGGAUAUGCACAGUCUGUGCCAGAGAAGCGUGUCAUUGCUUGCAUAGGUGAUGGUAGCUUCCAGGUAUGAGCCAGCGAUAUUCGUCUAUGUUAAUUAUCUUUUAUUUGGAAAACCAACCAUGAAAGACACUGUUAAAAUGAUAAUACGACACAAAUAAUCUGAAUCUGAUCUGUUUGUUUUACCUAAACGCUUCAAAUUUCUUGCAUAGUCAAUGAUAUCCUGUAAAGCAUUGGUCUUUUACGUCAUCAGUGUUUUUAUCUUUGUUGGUGACUGCCUCAGGUAACUGCACAAGAUGUGUCAACAAUGCUGCGAUGUGGGCAGAAGACUAUAAUCUUCCUGAUUAACAAUGGUGGUUACACCAUUGAAGUUGAGAUCCAUGAUGGACCGUACAAUGUGAUCAAGAACUGGAACUACACCGGGUUGGUUGAUGCAAUCCACAAUGGCGAAGGCAAGUGCUGGACAACCAAGGUCAGUUUUGCUUAUUUAUCUCAUUUUUCUUUAACCCAUCCUUUCUAGCAUUGAGAAGUGCUCACCCUGAAGUUGUCCUUCGUAUCUGUUGUUGCAGGUCUUCUGCGAGGAGGAGCUCAUCGAAGCCAUUGAGAACGCUACUGGACCCAAGAAGGAUUGCUUGUGCUUCAUUGAAGUACUUGUUCACAAGGAUGAUACAAGCAAAGAGCUUUUGGAAUGGGGCUCCAGGGUCUCCGCUGCCAAUAGCCGCCCACCAAAUCCUCAGUAGAUAUGAGGCGGCUCAUAUUGCAAAUUGCACUCUACUACCAUUUAUAGCCAAAUUAAAUGCGCGCAUGUCUUUUCUGUGGUUACUUUACUAAGUUUUGGGUAUUUUGAACUAUUUGCUGGUUUCUAAUGUAAAUUCAUUUUAAAAUUUAAUAUCUACUAAAUCCUCUCCAUUGCUUCAAUUUCACUAGUCAUAUUGAUACAUAUAGAUGCAAUAAUUGACACGUACGAUAAGUACGGGAGCCACGACAGUGACAUAUUGAAAUUUCCAAAUGUUAUAACUUUCAUAUUAGUUACAUGAAAAAAAAAAAUGAUGUUUUAAGCCGAAGGGGUGGUAAGGUUAUAAAAUUAUAUAUUUUGAGCCUCCGAAUAAAAAAUUAAGGGCAUUUGAUUCGAGAGACAUGCUUUGAGCUUUGUCAUCCAUCCUCCUCCAAGAAUAUGACACCUGUUGCUCAAUCUCAAAGUGUGGAGCAAGCUCUUCUUCAAUUUUAUUGUGUGGAGUUUGAAUUUCAAAAUUUUUGCACAAUUUUUUUUAUAUUUUUACUAGUCCAACCAAUAUUUACUUUAGAGCUUGUUUUGAAAGAGUAGAACACGGUAUUCUUCUUCCAGACGCGAAAAGCACAACACAAGUUGGAUUAUGCACGGUUCGUUGACUCAGGAGCUAGCUCAGGUCGUUGGUUCAAAGUUACGACAUGUCGUCCAACAAAAUACAAAUUGAAACUACAAGUCGGUCGGCUGUACCAGACAACAUGUCAUGGACUUAAAAGCGAUCCACUCACAUUAUCAUCCAUACAGCUUUGCUAGGAUUCUAGUAAUAUUAGCAAGCAUCUUAAUCAUCCGUAGACCAAGACCAAGAGACAAGUUACAUCAUUUAUGAAGGAAGAUGUGACCUGCAUUUUAACAGUCAUCUUUGGAGGCUUGGAAAUCUAUGGUUUAUUUCUAAAGUUCAAAAGAUUGGAAUAUCAUGUUUCAUGACAUCUUGGAUUGUGUCCAUCCAAAUUUUGUUUGCUUUCACCUGCUGUGCCCACACAAUUCACCUCACGAUAAAUUUGCUACGCAUAAACUAUAUCCAUGAAGGGGCAAAAUCCGAAAGUAAUUUCUGAAGAUUAUACACAGAUAUCAUUUAGUGCCCGAGUGCCUGGGGCAAGCAAAAAUCUGCAUCAACGGAGAACUAUGUACAAUAGAUGUUUGACAAAACAGAUCUACGGUUUGGCACUGUUUCUUGGAGCAAGCACGAGACGACCAUUUUCAAGUAGGCUGCUAGGAAAGGGAGCUCGACAGCUGCUAAUAUGUGAUUUCAACCUGGGUAUGCUAGGAUGUGCACUUCUACACCGGUGGCAUCGCAACUCCAUCGAUAACAAACUAUCAUCAUCUUUUAAUGUUGCUUUGCCGUGAUUAAUGAUUUCUUCAAGUACAUCAACCGAAUUGCAAAAAAAUGCAGUAUUGAAAGAGUUCCAGUGCUUCUUAUUCUUAAGAUGCUUGGAGUUAAAAUCUUGGCUAAUAACAUGUAGGUGUAGUUGGCGCAUAGAUGGAGCCUGCAAGAAAAGAGUCCCAAAUGAUUUGCGGAAACCGACAUUUUUCAAAUUUCACCAAAUCUGUCUAUAGUGAUCACUAAGCAGUUUUGCAGUAGUCCAGGUCAUAAUAUAAACCUAAACAAAAACAAAGAAAAACAGAAAAGAAAAAGAAAAUAAAAAAAAGGCUGCAGCAAUGGAAAGGUACAACUAAACAGUACACAGAAUUUCAGAUCAUCCAAUACACUCAUUAUACCACACUUUUUCCUUAAAAUCAUUAUUCUUACUUAAAUACUGCAACCUAUGGUAUUCUGAGUGUUUAAACAUAUCACAUCUCAAGUUCUGUUGGCAGCAUCUAGUCUCUGAUUUUUGGAUUCUUCCAAUUCUAAAUGCAUUUUACUCUAGUUUGGCCCCAGACCAUGUAAAAGGCCUUAUGGUAUGAGAUUCCUCAACUGAUAGAAAAAGGAAAACAAAAAAUAAAAAUAAAAAUGAGUAGUAUUCUAUACCGAAUGAUAUCCAAGACGGAAGGCCAAUGAUGCAUCUUCAUGCAAGAACUUCUCAGCCCACUUCAUACCCACAGUAUGCAUCGUUUGUAAAAUUUGCAGAUGUUCAUUUCGUACAUCUGCCAAGCGAUCAAGACCAUCGAAUCGUGACAGCACCAAAAUGUGUUUCUGAGCCUAUAAUAAGGAAUGAAAACUCCACACACUUAUUAAUUGAGCUCAAGUAAAUGCAAAGUAGGGUUCCUGGGGGAAGGUUGUCUGAUGGAUGUACCUUUGGAUAAAGAUCAUUUAGUACAACAACAUCAUCUGAUAUCUCAAGCAGAUCAUCUUUAUGCCUUUCAGGAUGCAUGGCCGUGCGAUAAAGAACUUGAGCCCAAGAGCCCCAGGCCUUAGAAGUGCUUACACCAAUCUUCUCAUUGUCUGCAUUUAAGUUUGCAGCCCUAGAAAGAUUAAUAUCAGUUCCAACUUCAUUUUGAGCUCCCUUACAUUUCUUACUUCGUUCAUAUUCAUGGCCACCAUCUCUUUUAAUUUUAUCACCAGUCGAAAUAUAAUUUCCAUGGACAUCCUCAGAGUGAUCUUGUGAAACUGAAGGCUCUAACCGAAUGUCUUCAUUGCAUCCCUUGGAUAACUUCUCUUGGGACCUCACUAUGGAUAAAAAACCUUCAAAAAGUGAGGUGUAAGCCUUACGAAGAAUUUCACAGCCUUUAACAUAGUCACCAUGAAGACAAUUUGGUCUACGUGGGUUCAUAUUAGGUCCAAGAACAUGUAUAACAUGGGUCACACCUUCCCUAUCACACAAGGGAGAAGUUGAAGGGAGAGGAACAAUAACAGAAUUCCCAGGGUAAAGAGAUUUAGCCCGUUCUGCAGUUGCAACCUCUAGAGCAGGCCCUGCAGCACUGAAAAUUGCAGCAUUCACACCUCCACCUCCAGGUUUUAGUCGCCUGCAUAGGUGAUUUGUCAGUUAAUCUUCUUAAUAAGAGAAUAAAAUUGCAAUGACAGGUUUAAACCAUUAUCAUUAUUUUCCCAGAUAUAAUGAUGGUUCAACAGAGCAGAGUCAACAUGUUGUCUCAAUAUCUAAAGAAAUGAAGCAACCAGCUGAUCUCUGAUUGUUUCAAGACCACCAACAAAUAUCUGCCAUUCCAGAGGCUAAACGGUGCAAGUAAAAGGAGGUCCCAUGCAUGGUUUCAAUGGCAGGAGUUCCUCAAGAAUUUCCCUAAUAAAAUAUUUCCAGUGACACAUUUAACACCUAACAGAACUCUCUGCAUAUUAUAAAAUCAUACAAGCUUACCAGUUGGCAGCAUUAGCUAUUACAUUGCAGCAUAAACCUCCUCCUGUAUAAAGUCGAGUAAUAUCUCCAACAAACGUGAAGAACUUUUUAGGGUUGAUGUGUUUUUGUGCAGCUUUGGCCCUAACCAAAGACAAAAUCUUUGAUCCAUGAGUCAAAUCCACUAAUACUAGCCUGGCAUUUCCAAGCUUGUUUACGUAUUCCUCAACUUUUUCAAUGAUUACAUCAGAGGCCUUGUCAUUAUUGAAUUGAAAAUCUGAUGUUGAAAGAGACGGAAAUGCCAGAGUUGGAACAUCACUUGAAGAACCAUUCUGGUUGACAGAGGCCACCUCUGGGUUUUCAAUUCGCUUUACCUCUUCCCCCGCAGCAUCUGAUAACAAAGAAGUAAUUUCUUGUCCUUCAAGGCAGCUAUUCUUUUCUUCAGUAAUUUGAGGAGGCACAGGAUCCUGAGUGCUGCUUGCAUUAGACCCUGUAUUAGAAGGAGCAUCUACUUUCUUCAAGAAUUUCAUUAUACCAAGUUGAAUUUUGGCAUCUGGAUUCUUCUGGCCAAAAGAACCAUGUGGGAGGGUAUCUAAUGGACCAAGUCCACUGUACGUAUCAAGUGCAGCUUGAACAUCAUUCUCAUUCUGGCAUAACGUAAUUCGAGAGAACCCUUCACUCAGCUUAGGCAAUUCUUUCUUUUGAAGCAUUCUGUUCACCACUGCUGCAGCUUUUCCACCUUGCAAUUUCCCUUCAUGCUCAAUACGUUUAACAGAUCGAGAUAUACAAAGCUUGGCUGGAAGAUCAAGCACCACAGCAUGCACAUCUACUUCUGGGCCUCCAAGCUUAACAAAAUCUGUGCGCUGUUCUCUCUCUAGGUUGCACCUGUCUAUAAAUACACUUUUUCCCUCCUUCAAUGCACUUGAUGCACUCGUCAGGCACUGAACCUUUGUUCCAGAUUUUCCUUUAUUAAUAGUGUCCUACAGUAACAAAUGAAAUAGAAUAUGCCAAACCACUGAGAAAUUUUUUUGAUACUCAAAGGCUUACUGUUUAUGCAGUAAACUUAGCAAGUUUAGCAUGAGUUUACGCCAUUUCUUUCCGAAAGCUAAAUCAUUAAAUGAAACGAAAGAAAUUCUAUUAUUAAUACAACCACUUCCAUAGGAAUACAUUCGGAAUUGAGGUGUUGCGUCUUUAACCAACAGUAGCUAUAAAAUGAAAUACAAGCUAUCAUAUAUAAGCUGGUGGGUAAUUAAUAAAUGUAAGCUACUAUCAUAUAUAAGCCGGUGGGUAAUUAAUAAAUGUAAGCUACCAAGUGAGAGUGUAAGCAUAAGUACAAGUACUAUAGCUACAAAUACACCUAAAACAAUGUGACUUUCGAAAAUGCAAUGAAGAAAACAACGUCCAACUCCCAUUAUUUUGUAAUAAAAUAACACUCACAACACAAAUUUCACCAGUUUCUGAGAUGAAAUUCAGUAAAGCAUUUCAUCAAACAUGAGCGACGGAGAUCAUUUAAGUGAAAAAAAAAAAACGACGGGGAAAAAGAACAAGAAACCUGGCAAAUACGUGCCCAGGGUCGGGCAGAAGAACGCAUGACGUGCUCACAGAACGUUGACUUGCCGCUGCCGGGCGCACCCACCAUUAUCACCAGGAUUUGCUUCCACUUCUUUUCUUCGUCUUUAAAAUCAAGCAAACAGCGUAGACAUUUGAAACGUUAUUAAAGAGCAAUUAUCAAAUUAAUUAGACUCGAUAAUCAUCAGAUAGGUCUAUAUAUAUAUAUAGAUGCACACACACCUUUGGCUUUGCAAGUAUCGUCAAUUUCCAUAUCCAUUUUUUGUCUGAGAUUCGGAGCUCUUACAAGGCUCUAUGACUCGGGAAAUAUGCCGGAGGGUUUUUUUUUUUUUUUCUGCAAGCCGGUGCUUGGGUGUGUAUAUAAAUAAAUGGACUUCGGCCCAAAGAUUUUAAUUGAGUGCUUGUCUGUCUUGGGGAACAUUAAUAGUAAACUAAAACUCUCCCUUCUAUGGGAAGAUACUAAUAACAAUGUCCUUGACAUUUGUACUAUUAGCGAAUGCUAGCUCUAUUCUGUCCCCAAAAUUCAAGGUAACAAGGUGCUGAACCUUUUUCCUUCUUUUUAUUCUGUGGAAACACUCGGCUAGAGCCGCUGCCCUUACAAAACAUGGUGAGGAAUUAAUUCUUUUCUUAAUUAUAUAAAUUAAUUAAGUAAAAUAAAUCUUUUCUCUUUUGAAAUAUGAAUAGAGUAAAUAUAUAAAAGAUUUAAAGUAAAACUAAUCCAAAUAAUUGGUCAGCUUGUAAAUGUAUCACUGUCAGUCUCAUGUAAUAAUUUGAACAAUUUUUUUAUGUAAUUCAAAAAAAAAAUUCAUUGCAGUGCCAAUUCAAAUUUUAUUGCAACUCUUCAUCAAUUCACUGAUGCAAUUGACAUGAUUUAACAAUCUGCUAGAAAUCCGUUAAUAAUCUUCAGAGAGUAGUGGCAACAAUGAAAGUAAUAACGAAAAACGUCAAGAUUGUUGAUCACCCCUGCCGCAGUUUGCAAUACCCCCCUAUUUCAGGUAGAAAUUUGUCUGUUACAGUAAUUUUUCUCCUGAAAUGAUUUCCUUUGAUUCUUAAAAGACAGAUUCAGGUUGAGUAUACCAAUGAAAUUGAGCCCCUUCAUUGCAGACCUUUGCAGAUUUGCAGCAUCAUCACCGACUCCCAACUUGCACCAUUGAAUGCUUAUCUACUGAUACAGGAGCUCAUUCAGUACUGAAUGAAUGUCGGAACAUACAAAUUCCAGAGCACAAAAACAAAGUUCAAAGCAAGAAAUCACCCCAAAGGAUUUCUUCACGGGGAGAAAUGCCUGAACUUUCAUUAUGAUACAACUGCCUGGUUUACUUCAUGUUUAAACAAAUAUCAUAAUCAAUCAUUUCAACAGUGCAAUUUUUAUAAGGGCACCCACAACUCAACACCAAUCGAUGGACUAAAAUGACAGGGAAACCUACCAAACACUGUUUCUCAUCUUCCGGUCCAGAGUUGGACCUUGGCAUUUCAUUUGAGUGGACAACAAAUCUGAUUUGUCCAGAGGCUCACUCAUUAUUCCAGCCAAAUGCAGUAAGCAUGGCCGCACAAAGGAAGUUCACCCAUCAUCUUGUGGGGUUGAAUGAAUUUUCUCACAGCAAAACAUAUGAUAUAGAUCCAACACUAAACUUGCUGGAAAUAGCUUUGGCUCUAUCAACACAUUCAAAAAUAAGGUCUACAAGGGGACUAGGAUAUGGAAACUCAAGCAGAAUAGCUUUCAACAGGGCAAUUGUAGAACCAUCAUUCCACAAAAUUAGGCUAAAGACUGAUGACCUGCAAGGUAAUAUAACAACUCCUGAUCCAUUGGUUAACAAAACAAAACCUUGAAAUCUAGCGAUGCAACAAAGUAGUUGCACAAUCAAACCAAGUACCAAGGUCCCUCAUCCCUACAAGAAAUUUGCAACAUUCAAUGAAACCAAAUUUAUUCACAUUUGGUUGCAUGAUACUUUAUCAAGAAGAUUUGGGAGUUCAUAUAUAUCUAUCCUUUAAGUUUUAAGGCUAUUGAGAACUAACUAUUUGGUCAAUUUCCCAAUUCACUUCAAAUUCAAAGACAAAUAACAUUAAAAGUAACUGUAAUCCAACAUAGGAAUCAUAUCUCACAUAAAAGUAAAACCAGAUGAUUCCAAAAACAAGCAAAUGGAGGGAAGUAUCUAGAAAGUAGAAACUAACCGGACCAUCUGAGCACUUUGGAUUUUUUAAUAGCUCCCGAAAUACAUAAAAGAUGGAUAAAUCAACAUAUUCAGCUUCCAUUAGAAGUAAAUAAAAGACAGUAAUAGCCACAGUAAAUCAUAAGGAGUUGCGCAGUAUAAAAAAAUAAUCACAGUCAAACGAAAAAUAGAUCCAAAACUAAUAAUAUCCAUUAGAUUAAAAUCUAUGAAAGUCAUCAAAACAUUUCAGAAUACACUGUCUGAUUCAACUGACUCAAAAACAAAAAAACGCACGACAUUAGACUUCAACAAGAUCGACAAAAUGUGAAAACCUCUGAAGAGAGAGAAAGAGGAAGGGAGGUGUCUUAUUCUUCUUCUACUUAGAUCUCUGUCUCAUCUUUCGGCGCUUUCUCUUCAAUCUCCUCAUGCGCUUCUUCUUCCACUGAAAUAAUAAUUAUUCAUCAAGAUAAUUAAAUUAAAAAAGAAAUUGAAACUAACGGAGAAACUAAAAUGAAUGGCUUCGUUAAGAUAACAAUAAUUUAAGAGGUUACCUUGGCUCUCAUGGUGACUGGCUUGCAAAGACUAACAGAUUCUCUCUCGGUGGCCUUCGAAAGCCUAGGUAAAACGGAAGAAAAUGUGUUGGGUUUGCAUUUAUUUAUACUUAAACCCUAGCAAGAAAGGGGAAUGAACCGGGCCGAUAUGCUUUCCUUUCAGGCCGGAAGCUCCGGUUCAUCAUUUUUUCCCCUCAGUUUUCGUUAGUUUUUAUGGACGACUUGUCUUCUAAAUAGAAAACACCAAUGACAAGUCACUCUUUAAUUCUAGUUAUAAACGACACAGUGAUUUAUGAAUUUUCUUUUAUUUAUUUAUUUUUCCACUUUUCAACAUCAAUCCUUUGAAUAUCACCCAUAAUUUUCCAUGUGACAUUUGUUUUUUUAUUUUAAAUAUGAAUAGAACUAAAAAUCAGAAUCUGAAUGGUAUGUUUAUUAUUAUUAUUUUUUUAUCGAAAUAGCUCAAAAGAUAUAUUAAGUUGUUUUUUUACAUAAAAAAAUUGAAAAUUAGUAUUUCUACACUUAUAUCCUUAAAAAUUAUAAACAUUAAACAAAGUAAAUGUCACAAAGAACUUAAAUAAAAUAAUAAAUUAUAUAACAUAGAUUAUGCUUAAUUGAAUAUAAUUUUUUAUAUUCUAAAUUAGUAUAUGUUAAUCAAUUUUAUUUUUCUUCAUGAUGUUUUUAUAUGAAAAAUAUUUAUGAAAAGAUUAUAAUAAAUAAAUAGUAUUAAUUUGAAGAAGAUAAAAAUAUAAAAAUAAUAAUAGUUCACUAUUAUAUUUUCACAAAACACAAAUUAUAAAAUGGAUAAUAACGCUAAUUAUUAAAUUUUAUUUAGACUACAGGAACAUAAUAAUAUAAAAUAAUAUGCAACGCCAUACUUACCAGCUGCAUAGUCAAGUAGUAUUUGAAGCUACAGUUAUUGCUCAAUUUAAUCACAAACGUCUUUUUAAUCACAUGUUUAAUAGCUUUGCCGUAUCCACUCAUUUAUGCAGUAAUUGGCUAAUUGCUGGUCACUCGAUACAAGAUUCACCUAAGAUUUUUCUUCGAUACUUUCCCAACAAUUAUACAGCCAUUGCAAGUACUAUCGCUAUCUCCAAGAUUCAAAUGUGAAUUCUACUCUUAUCAUGGCUUUUCUUGAUGUCUUCUUUAGGCUACUUCUUUGCCAUCAAUAUAGCUUUUGUCUCUGGCCAAUGUCAAAGCGAUCAGCAAACAUUGUUACUGCAAUUGAAGAGCAGCCUCACAUUCGAUCCCUCUUCAUCUGUAAAACUGAUGCAGUGGCGUCAAAGCACUGAUUGUUGUGAUUGGAGCGGUGUAGAUUGUGAUGAGGCUGGUCAUGUUAUUGGUCUUGACUUAAGCACGGAAUCGAUCUCCGGCGGUAUUGAGAACGCAGCUAUUCUUUUCAGUCUCCAUUAUCUGCGGAGCCUAAACUUGGCUCGCACUAGCUUCAAUGGAACACAAAUCUCAUCCAAGUUGGCCAACAUCUCAAGUUUGACUUAUCUGAAUCUUUCUGAUGCUGGCUUUGCUGGGCAGAUUCCAGUUCAGAUUUCACGCAUGGCAAGGUUGGUUGCUCUUGAUUUUUCAUUUAACCAAUUCUCUGGUUCGAUCUCAUCUAUUCGCUGGGAACAUCUUUUGAAUCUUGUUUGUGCUGUCUUAAGCGAUAAUUCCCUUGAUGGAAGUAUCCCCCGGUCAAUGUUUGAAUUUCCGAUGUUACAGCAGCUUCAACUUGCCAACAACCAAUUUGGCGGCUCAAUUCCUAGAUUUUCAAAUGCAUCCUCCUCUGCACUAGACACCCAGAUUAAGAGGGUCUAUUCCUGUCUCGGUCUUCGAACUCAAAAACUUACUCCCCUUUUGCUUUCUUCAAACAACCUCAAUGGCACUGUGCAGCUGGAUAAGAUUCUCAGUCUUGGCAACCUUGCAAAACUUGAUCUUUCAUACAAUAGCUUGGCAGUGGAUGAAAGCAGCAGAAAUUAUUCAUUCUCUCCAAUGCUGGAGCUUUUGAAUUUGGCUUCUUGCAAACUGAGGGAGAUUCCUAAUCUGAAGAACCAAUCGCAACUGCAAUAUUUAUACCUUUCAGAAAACCAAAUUUCCAGGGAAAUCCCUAAUUGGAUUUGGCGAGUAAGUGUUGUCGGUCUUCACUGUCUUAAUCUUUCACACAAUUUCCUGGUGGGUUUCCAGGCACCUUACUCAAUCCCUGCACUUCGCUUCAUAGACCUAAUUUCCAACCAGCUCCGAGGAAAUAUUCAUCAACUACCUAACAAUCCUAUUUAUAUAGAUUUCUCUAACAAUAAUUUUACUUCUUCCAUCCCAGCUGACACUGGUAAUUUCAUGCCUAGAUUAAGAUACUUUUGCGCUGCUAACAAUGGUCUCACAGGAAUCAUCCCUGCAUCUUUAUGCAAUGCUACAACUCUUUCACUUCUUGACUUGUCAAACAACAGUUUUAUGAAGAAGAGUGACACUCUAUUUGUUUUAAAUUUACAGAGUAACAACCUCAAUGAGUCAAUGGCACACUUCCUGACACGUUUCCUAGAAAUUGUUUGCUACAAACUCUGGAUCUCAAUGGAAAUCGACCACAAGGAACGGUCCCAAAAUCCAUUGCCAAAUGCAAAAUGCUGGAGGUUUUAAACCUUGGGAACAACCAGUUUAGUGACAAAUUCCCAUGCUCGUUAUAUGAUGCCCCUAGUUUGCAUGCGUUGGGAUUAUAUGCUCUUUAAAACAUAUUAAUUUAUUUAUUUUCUGAUUAAUAAAAUAUUUGAAAUAUUUUUAAUUGCAUAAAUAUUUUGAAUAAGGUCCGUUUAAUCAUAUUAUAUGUAUUUAUCUGAUCACCAUAUAGAUUUACAGAACACAUAAAUAUAAAUUAUUUUAUAAUUAAAUAAAUUAAGUUCGCAGUUGAUAAAUAGAGUUGGACGCUCUAUUUAUGUUUACACUAUAAUAAAUUCAUUGAAUGAUUUGUCUUAAUCAUAUAUGAAUUUAUUAAUGUAGCAUAACUACAUUGAACAAGAUCACAUAUGAGAUUUAAUUAACUUUGUAAUAACUGUCAGACUUAUUAAAUCUUAUAAGCAUUGAUUUUACUGUGAUCUUAAUCUUGAGUUAGUUAUGAUUUUAUGAUUGUAAUUGUUAUUUUAUUUGAGUUAUUAAUGGGCACAACACACACUUGUAGUCAAAAUUACACGGUAUCUUGGUGAGAACAAUUAUGAGUAUUAGAAUUAUAGAUUAACAAUAUAGAAUUUGUACAACACAUCUUUUGAUAUGUUUUCGGCAUUUGAUCAUAGAAUUCUCUGCCUAGAGUGUGUCAACAUAUUUAGUAUGUUGAAAAUGAUUAUUAGAGAAAACCAGUAAGUAUUAAGGAACAAGAUGUAAUUAAAUUGAUUGGACAUUUGAGAUAUCGAUUUAAUUAACAAUGUGGUAUGAAUGAUUAUGUAGUAAAGAAAUCAAUGUGGCAUAGGUCGAAUUAUUAUUCUGAGUACACUAUCUUAGAUAGCAUACAAUUAUGGAGGUCAAUUCUAAUCUUUUAGUGAAGUAGAUUUGGAAUUAAAUAAUUGGGCUAGUUUAAUUACAGGUCUAAUUAUUGUAGCCACUAUUGUAUGUACCCAUAUGAUCCUCGGGUUAGCUCAUUUAAUUGAUUGCGCUGCUACUGGAUUAAAAAGCAAGAUAACUAGCUAUUUUGGUUAAAAGCCUAAAUAUAUUAUUUAGUGAGAAGCUCCACAUAAUGUACUUGUGUCUAAGAGGUCUUGUGUUAUUUUACAAGGUGGACCCCUUUGACAAGAAGAAGUAAUGUUACUUUUAAUUUUAUUAUUUUUAAUUUAAAUCAAAUUUGAUUUAAUAAAAUUAAAAAUAUAAAAAUAUGGAGUCUAGGGUUUUCACUAAGAUAGAGAUAUAAAAUGAAUUAUUUUCUCCCAAAAAGAAGAGUGAGCCAUAUUAUACAUAUCAGAGAAAAAGUUUUUUUCUCUCUAAAUUUUAAAAGAAAUAUUUUCUCCUGCUAAUUGCUUUUAGUGGUGAUAAAGAUGCCUAUACGUCAAGUGCAGAUCAAUCUUGAGCCAUAACUUGGAAGAUUAUUGGUGGCGGAUCGUGAUCUAACAAGAUUAGUGGUAAUGGAUUGUGAUUUAAUAAGAGUGGUGGUGACGGAUUGUGAUUUAAUGAGAAUGGUGGCGAUAGAUCGUGAUUUGGGAGCCCAGAUUAUUUCAGCGAAAAAGUAAAGUCGGAUUGUCAAGAUAUGAUUUUAUAGAUUAUGAAUUUAUAUAUAUUAUAUGAGAUUGAUUCUAAAAGUUUUUAUAAAAAUUAAAAAAAAAAACUAAUUUUCCUCUAACAGCAUGUUCUAGCUUUACGGUCCAACAACUUUUUAGGAUGCAUCAGUUGCCCAAAAAAUAAUGUCUCCUGGCCGAUGCUUCAGAUUAUCGACCUGGCUUCGAACAAAUUUAGUGGAAGAAUAUAAAAAAAGAAUGGUUACUAAACUUGGAGGCGAUAAUGGGUGAUGAAGGCAAAUCCCAAGCAGAGCUAAAAUUAUCGACCUACGAUAUGAGUUAAAAGAAAACAAGUACUACCAAGUUACAGUUACAGUUACAGUUACAAUUAAAGGUCUAGACAUCAAGCUACAGAAGAUCCUAAAUAUAUUCACCUCCAUUGACUUUUCAACCAACAAUUUUAAAGGGCCGAUACUAGAAGAUGUAGGACUACUCAAAUCACUCUAUGGUUUGAACUUGUCGCAUAAUGCUCUGACAGGCUCCAUCCCAUCAUCUUUUGGGAACUUGAAACGGCUGGAGUCCCUAGAUCUCUCAAUGAACAACCUGAGCAGGGCAAUCCCUUCACAGCUUGCAAGUUUAUAUUUUCUUUCUUACCUGAAUCUCUCAUAUAAUCAAUUGGAGGGAAGGUUCCAAUAGGUACUCAAAUGUAAUAAUUUUUACCAACUGCUUUUGAAGGUAACCAAGGAUUAUGCGAACCCCCCUUUGAUGAAUAAUUGCCAGACAAAUUCCAGCAAGUUGGCAUCAUCAGCACCACCUGCUUCAAGAGAUGAAAUGGAUUGGUUUUUCAUAAUCAUGGCAACUUGAUUUGCGAUAGGAUUUAGAACAGUUGUUGCACCCCUAAUGUUUUCUAGGAAUGUAAACAGAUGGUAUAACAACAUCAUCAACAGAUUUCUAAACCGGCGGUUCUGCGUGUGAAGUUAUUUAUAUCAUCUAGAAAAAUCAUGGAGCUUCAUAUUUUCGAUAUGAAUUUGUUGUUGGAGAUUUUCCUUUUUUUUGUCAUAUAACUAUUAUUUUGACAAUCUUUACCUCUAAAUCGAACACUUCAAGCUACAUAAAUACAAGCAAUUAAUUAUAGAUAGACUUGCACUUAAAAUGAGACAAAUGACUAUCGCUACAACUAUAAAUUAAUUCGGUAUGGGUGGACUGUUACAUAGACAGAAGGAUGGUAAGUGGUUUAGAUAAUAUGAGCAAUUGAGCAUCAUAUAUAUUUUCUCCUUUUCUUUAAGAUAGCAUCACAUGUUGAACUCAAAAUUUUUGCUUUUCCGUAAUAAUUGAAUAUACAAUGAGGUGCAAAUUAGAGGGUACGAAAUUUUAGUGGUUGUUAAAAGAUGUUCAUCAUUUAAUCAUUUGAAGAAUUGGGAAUCGUAUUCCAUUUUACAAGUUUGAUCAGUAGAAAUGAGAAUUUAGAAGACGAUAAUUAUUUUUAUAAGAUAUGAGCCCAAUCAAGACUUGAAAGAACUUCUGUGUCUUCACAUAAGUGAUUUUAUUAUUAAGGAAAAUUAUCAAUCAUAUACCUUAAGUUUACCAUAUAUAUUAUCAAAAAUCCUAUACAAUUUUGAAUUUCUUUGAUUUUUUCACCUUAAGUUGGCAAUUUAUAUCAACUGACCACCAAAAAAUUAAUUAUCAUUCAUAAAUAAUGACAUUAUAAGGGUAAUUUAGACAUUAAAUAUGUUUAAUAUUGAAAAAUUAUUAGUCAUUCGCCACAAGUUUACCUUGUUAUUAAAAAUAUUAUAAAAGUUUGAAUUUGUUUAAUUUUCCACCCUAUGUUUUCUAUUUAUAUCAAUCGUCCGCCAAAACAUCAAAUUGAUCCACAAAGUACCCUAAGCGCCAAUUCAUAAACAACCAAUCAAUCAAAUCCUUAAAUUCAAUUUCAUAAACACCUAAUCAAACCCAAUUUACAGUGUCAUAGCGACUACCACCAUUGAUCGCCACUGUCGUUGCUACUUCGUCCGGCCUCAUGGAUAGUUGCAAUCACUACAACACUCUUCAAUGGUCGGUCUUCAUAGCCCAAUGCAAAUUUUUGUGAAUUAUCGCAAAUAGUUGAAGAAUUCAGUGAUUAAGGAUUUGAUACAGUUUUAAUGUUGAUUUUUUUAACUCUAUAAAUUAAUAAAGAGAGAAGAUAUGGAAAAAGAUUGUUAGAUAUAUUUUAUUUUAUUUUUUCUUGAUGAAGGAUUUGAUGACAAUUAUAUUUAGGGAUCAAAAUCAUUGGUGGAUUGUGUUUUGGAACAAAGAGUGCUGGCUUGCUUGAUUUUGAUAUUUUAUUUUUGUUUUUCUUUUUUAAUUUAAUUUUAUUAUUUAUGGUGCAAAGUGGAAAUGCCCUUGAAUUCAAGAGUAAAAUGGUCAUUUUAUUUAGAUUUUGUAAAAUAUUCUAACAGUAUUAAUAUUUUGUAGAAUGUUGACACAAAUUACAUACUUAAUGUGGAAAAUUGAAUAAAUUCAAAUUUUUGCAUUAUUUUUUAUAGUAGGAUAAAUUUAAGAUGGAUGAUUGAUAAUUUUCCUUGAAUUCAAAUGUAAAGUGGUCAUCUAUAUAGAUUUCAUUAAAAAUUCCAACAACAGUAACAUUUGGUGGAUAGUAAAAAAUGAAACAAAUUUUAAUUUUUAUAGUAUUUUUUAUAAUAUGAUAGCUUAAAGUAUAUUAUUGAUAAUUUUCCUAUUGUUAAUAAAUUCGGCUACCUUAAUGACGACAAAGUCUAUGAGCUAGUGUAGUUUUUUUUACAAAAGAUAUUUAACCAAAGGGAGCCCUAACUUAAGUGUUUGCCUUAGCGAAAACUCUCAAUUUUCUUCUGCCAUAAAGUCCUUUCAAGUCUUACUGUUGUGGACUAGUGUUGCCUUCUUCUUUACACCAGUGACCAGCAUAUUAAAAGAUUCUUUUUUGCUGGUGGUCAAUAAAGUUUUUUUUUACAGGGAAAUAAUUGCACAUAAGAGAGGCUCACACGCUGUUCGUGUGUGUGGGUGUAAGUUACAUGAAAUGUAACUUAGUGUUUGUCUUAACAAAAACUCUCAAUUUUCUUCUGCCAUAAAGUCCUUCCAAGUCUUUCUGCUGUCGACUAGUGUUGCCUUCUUCUUUACGCUGGUGACCGGCAUAUUAUAAGAUUCUUUUUUGCUAGUGGUCAAUAAAGUUUUUUUAUAGGGAAAUAAUUGCACGUAAGAGGGGCUCACACGUUGUUCAUGUGUGUGGGUGUAAGUUAUAUGAAAUAUAACUUAGGUGGCGUUUGUUUUUUAACUUAAUGACUUAAAGUGACUUAACUUAAUUAAUUAAGUUAAUUAGAGGUGUUUGUUUUUAUAACUUAAUGAGGCUUUUUAAAUAAUUUUGACUUAAUAAAAUAAGCUAAUUUUUUUAGCUUUUUACUUAAUGGAGAAAUCUGAAUUAAGUCAAUUACUUGCUAAUGUCAAAAAUAUCCCUGUUUUAUAAUUUAUUUGUUAUGUCUAUCCCAAAACUCACCCAUAGAUAUUUACCCCACAUAAAAAUAUUCAUGUUUUUUUUCUUAUAUUAUAUAUGAUAAAAUUUGAAAUUUAUGGUAUUUUAUAUAUUAAAAUUCUAAAAUAAUUAUGUAUUCACUUGAAUAUAGUUUUGCUUAUAAAUGUUAAAAUAUUGUGGUAUUUAAUAUAUUAUUUAUUUGACAUUCAAAUUUAAUAAGGAUACAAAUGUAAAAGUACAUAUUUUUAGCUUUUUAAGUUGAAAAAAACAACAACUUAAUACUUAUUUUUCGAGAUUCAGACGAAAAAAUAAACAUAUUAUUCAGAUUCAGACAUUCAGACCUAUUCAGAAUUUAGACUAAUUCAGGUCUAUUCAGAUUUCAGAUAAAAAAACAAACGCCACCUUAGUGUUUGCCUUAACAAAAACUCUCAAUUUUCUUCUGCCAUAAAGUCCUUCCAAGUCUUGCUGCUGUUGACUAGUGUUGCCUUCUUUAUGCUGGUGAUUAGCAUAUUAUAAGAUUCUUUUUUGGCGGUGGUCAAUAAAGUUUUUUUUACGGGGAAAUAAUUGCACGUAGGACAGGAAUUUAACAAAGCAAAAUUUAAUUUCGACUAUCCAUAUUUUGAAGAUAAUUAAUUAGGAGAAAAAUGAAAUUAACCCUUUAAGAUAACUCUAUAUUCGGACGAGAUUAAUAAUUUUAUUCGAUUACACCGCUGUCGAUUUGAAUUAAGAGCAUGCUCUUUUAUCUGAGGUCACCGACCCCCCUACAUCUUCUUUGUUUGAAUAAUGAGUUCGGAUUAAUCAAUAGAUUGAUGCCAAUUGAUGGCAAUUAGCGACGACAAGCGGAGUACCGACUCCCCGCCGAUAUAAAUUUGUUCUUUGAUGCCAAAAUUUGACAUAAACAGCAAGACAACGCUCAAUCUAAACGGCAAAAGCAGUAACUGCAAGUAAAACGAUGCUGGCUUCACUCGAGAUCGUUAACAUCUAUCCAAUACUGAAUCAUGAUUUACAGUUUUAAGGAAGAAUUUGCAAAGGGAUGAUCUGAUUUCUCUCGGUGGAUGAUAGAACCCAAGCUUAAUUAAACAACUAUUUUUUUCUUUUUCCUUUUUAAGAAUUAGUUUAUUACAAAUCUAAGCUAAGUUGUCUUGCAAUGAAAUGACUUGACAAGGUGAGCUAACUCGGAAAACCCAAGUGAUCCGAAGUCCAAACCGUAUAAUUACUAAUUUACUACUGUGGAAUUGUAUAGUUGAAAGAGGCUCCUCUUCCGCUGAUUCAUCCUUUGAACAUAAAUUUUUCAGUAUCUAAAAUAAGAAAAGCUCAGACAAGAUGUAAGAUAUGACCUUUGUAUCUUUUUGGGUUAUAAUUUCAGUUGUAUGUAUUUUUUUUAUUUUUUUCAAUUGCUAAAAUUUUAUUCUAUUAAUAAUUCAAUUUUCCCUUUUUCAAUAAUUUCGUCCUUUUUCAGUGUAUAAAAUAGGUAAAACACUCAUUGUAAGACUAUUGAUUGUAAUCAUACACUUAGCAGAAUGAAAAACAUGCGUCUACUAAUAAUUAGUUGCAGUUUACUUUGAUUGCCCUCAUCAGCUGACCAUCCUAUUCCCUGGAAUUCCUCAAUUCUCUUCUUUUUUCUUCUACCUUGCAAUUUCUAGGUCAUACAGUGCCAAUUUGAAAUAAUAUUCGUAUAUUACAAGUAGGGCUGGUAAAAUGGGUAAUCGAGUCAUGUUCGUGUCGUGUCAAAUUUAGGUCAACCCAAACCCGACCCAACCCAAACCCGACCCAUUUAAUAAUCGUGUUAAAAUAUUGAGACCCAAUUUCUAGGUCAUGCAGUGCCAAUUUGAAAUAAUAUUCGUAUAUUACAAGUAGGGCUGGUAAAAUGGGUAAUCGAGUCAUGUUCGUGUCGUGUCAGUUUCGUGUCGUGUCAAAUUUAGGUCAACCCAAACCCGACCCAUUUAAUAAUCGUGUUAAAAUAUUGAGACCCAAUUUCUAGGUCAUGCAGUGCCAAUUUGAAAUAAUAUUCGUAUAUUACAAGUAGGGCUGGUAAAAUGGGUAAUCGAGUCAUGUUCGUGUCGUGUCAGUUUCGUGUCGUGUCAAAUCUGCUGUACCGUACAUCCGCCUUGGCCGUACAGCAGGCUUUUUAAAUAAUUUUGACUUAAUAAAAUAAGCUAAUUUUUUUAGCUUUUUACUUAAUGGAGAAAUCUGAAUUAAGUCAAUUACUUGCUAAUGUUUUUGAUGAUAAAAACCUGCAAAUUAUUUUAAAAUAGAAAAUAUAAUCGUGUCGUUGAUUGGGUAAAUGAGUCAAAUAUUUUAACCUAACCCGACAAAGAAAAAAAUCGUGUCAACCCGGACCCUAUCCAUUUAAUAAUCGUGUUAAAUUCGAUGACCCAUACCUAUUUAUUCGUGUCGGACGAUCGGGUCAUGUUAAAUUUUACCAGCUAUAAUUACAAGAUGAACCCAUGAACCGAAACCACUUUUUCAUGAGUUUACACAUAUAACGUCGGCACCAAUGCUAUUACUUUAUUCAAGUUUCAAUUAUAUCCGGGGUAUUCAGUUAUUGACUUGUUUCCAAUGAGUGUUUUACAGUUAUCAUGGCUUUUCUUGAUAACGUUGUUGACAAAUUUCGGGGGAAUCAACAUGGUUUUGGUUUCUGGUCAGUGUCAGAGUGAUCAGCAAUCCUUGUUGCUCCAAAUGAAGAGCAGCCUAGACUUAAAUUCCUUAGGAAUUGCUUUCUUUGGCAAGCAGAGCACAAGAAACCAGAAACUUGUAUUGAAAAUAAACUUGAAUUGAAUUCUGUUUACAGACCAUCGUCUAUUUAUACAUAAGAAAACAAAAGUGACAGGUAGCUAAAAAUAACAAACUCAGAUAAAAAAAAUAAUCCAGCAAUCAUUAGCCAAUAAUAUGAUGCUUCCAGAAUUUUCAUCCAUUUAUUCAAUGUGCUGGUAUUUCUCUGUGUAGCAGUUUUGCCACCUCAUUGAAGUUGCAUCAGCUGGUAAAUAGGUGUAGCUUAGGUGGCAUGCCAAUGUGUCACUGAGCUCAGCUGAUGAUUUGUCAUGGUCAUGGCUGCUAUCUUCAACACCCUCUCUCAAACACAAGGUUUUGUCAAACACCUUGAGUUUGCUUCUGAAGCAGCUGAAUUUAUAUUAAGGUAAUGGCUUGGUUAGAACAUCAGCUAUUUGGUCUCUGCCUGCAACAAAACUGAUUUCCAACUCUCCUCUAGCUACCAUGUCUCUGAUAAAGUGUAGAUCUAUCUCGAAAUGCUUAGUUUUAGAGUGAAAUACAGGAUUGGUUGCUAUUGCAGCUGCACUUGUGCUAUCACUUAGGAUUGUUAGUGUUCUUUGUAUUUCUAUUUUUCAGCUCACUUAGCAGAGAACCAAUCCAUGUGAGUUCUGUAGUGCAAAGAGCCAUUGCUCUGUAUUCUGAUUCAGCCGUAGAUCUAGCAACUAAGCCUUGCUUUCUUGAACUCCAAGUAAUAAGGUUUCCACCCAAGAAUACACAAUAACCACUGAUAGAUCUCCUGUCAUCCAAGUCAUUUGCCCAAUCUGCAUCCGUGUAAGCUAUUAGAUCAAAGUACUCUGAUCUUUUGAAUUUCAGACACAUGUUCAUGGUGCUCUUGAGAUACCUCAACACUCUUUUGCAUGCUAUCCAGUGAGGUUGCCUAGGAUCAGACAUGUAUUGGCUAAGCUUGUUCACUGAAUAAGCAAGCUCAGGUCUUGUGAGUAUUGCAUACUGCAGGCUACCUAUAACACUUCGAUACAAUGUGGGAUCAUAAAAAUUUUCUCCUCCAUUUUUCUUUAGUUUCUCUGUAGUACUAAAAGGUGACUCAAUUCCUUUACAGUCACUCAUCUCUGUUCUGGCAAGCAGAUCUUGUAUGUACUUGGUCUGAGAUAACAUAAUGGCAUUUUGGUUUCUGUUCACCUGAAUCCCCAGAAAGAAAUUCAGCUCCCCCAAGUCUUUUAAAGCAAAUGCUCCAUUUAAAUUACUGACCAGCUCUUCAAUACUGCCACUAUUGUCACCUGUAAUGAUGAUGUUGUUAACAUAAAUCAGCAGUAUAACUAUCUCAGAUUUUGUUCUUCUGUAGAAUAGUGAGGUAUCACACUUGGAGUUUUCAAAUCCCCAAGAGUUCAAAGCACCCUUUAGUUUGUCAAACCAUGCCCUGGGAGUUUGUCUCAAACCAUACAAUGCUUUCUUUAAUCUGUAUAUGUGAUUAGGCUUACUUUUGUCCACAAAACCUUCAGGCUGUGGCAUGUAAACCAUUUCUGUCAGCUCACCAUUCAAGAAGGCAUUAUUUAUGUCUACUUACCUCAAACUCCAGUCAUUGUUUACUGCCAAUGUGAGGAUGAUUCUGAUUGUUGCAGCCUUAACAACAGGGCUAAAAGUUUAUGUAAAAUCAAUGCCUGGAAUCUGCAAAAAUCCCUUCACCACUAGUCUGGCCUUAUAUUUGUUUAUGGUUCCAUCUGGAUUCUCUUUGACUCUGUACACCUAUUUAUUUCCAAUCAACUUGCAACUUGAGUUACUUGGUACCAAGGUCCAUGUUUCAUUUUUCAGUAAGGCAUUGUAUUCAUCUUCCAUUGCCUCUUUCCAGUUUGGUUCUUUUAAGGUUUUUGAAGUGUUUAAGGGUAAUGCAGUCUGUGGUUGAGUAGAAACUUGGUAUAAUUUUGGUUUAAAGAUCCCUGCCUUAGAUCUUGUUACCAUAGGAUGUGAUGGUAUGGCUUCUUUUGUGUUUGGAGCUAUGAUAGGGGAUGAAGGUUGGUCAUUUUCUUGAGGCUGGUGAUUUGUAUGAGGAGAAGACAUUUGAUUAUUUGACAUCAUAUCAGUGCUCAAGUUCUGUUGUGUCUUACCUUGGUCAAGGUUCUGGAAUUGUUCUGAAGCUUCAGGGGCUUCCAGAGAGUGGCCUUGAUCAACUGCUGUCUGAGUGUUUUGAGGAGUAUCAAAAGAGAAUGACACGACCUGAAAUUUUUCUAAGAGAGUAAUAAAAUCACUUUGACUUGUGGACUCUUGUCUACUGAACUUGGUAUCAUUAGAGAAAGGAAAUGAGCUUUCAUUGAAUCUGACACUUGCAGAGAUAUAUGUUCUACCUGAGUGAUGCAUGCAAACAUAUCCCUUGUGAAUUAUGCUUAUUCCUAGCAAUGUGCAUUUGACAGUAUGGAAAUCAAACUUGUGUUUGUUAUAUGGCCUUAAAAAUGGAUAGCAUUCACAUCCAAAUACUCUGAUUUGUGAGUAAUUUGGUUUGCAAUGGUAAAGCAAUUCAAAGGGGGUUUUAUUUCCAAUGACAGGUGAGGCUAAUCUGUUGAUAAUGUAGGUGGCAUAAGUGAAAGCUUCUUGCCAGAAUUUUAAUGGCAUUUUAGCUUGUGCCAGCAAUGUGAGUCCAGUUUCUACCACAUGUCUGUGUUUUCUCUCAACCUUGCCAUUUUGUUCAUGUAGAUAUGGACAUGAUUGUCUCAAUGCUAUCCCCUCUUUGUCAAGAAAUGCUUUGAAUGGUUUAAAUUCUCCUCCCAUGUCUGUCUGUAAUGCUUUAAUUUUUAGAUUCAAUUGAUUUUCAAUUUGGCUUUUAAAGGUGAUGAAUGUAUUGAGAGCUUGGGAUUUUGUUGUCAAGGGAAAUAGCCAGGUGUAUCUUGUCAUAUCAUCCACAAAAGAUAUAUAAUAUCUAUGUCCAUGACUUGAGGGAAUUGGUGAUGGUCCCCAUAAGUCAGCAUGAAUCAAUUCUAAGGCCUUGCUGGUUUUAGUUUCUGUGCUUUUAAAGUUUUGUUUAGAUUGUUUUCCAUACUGACAUGCACAACAAAAUGAAGGAACAAAAUUCUUGUUUAUUUUGAACUGAUUGCAAGACAACAAGGUGCUUUUCAGAGCAGACUCAUUUGGGUGCCCUAGUCUGAGAUGCCAGAGAUCAAUGUCUUUCAAAGCAUUAUUGCUUGAUCUAUCAGUUUCAGAGGACUCAACACAAACAUUUGCUAACUUGACACUACUCAAAUUAAAUGACAACAUAGACACUGGAUUGCUGAUGCAAUUUAUUGACUCAGGCAUGAAGGAAGAAGAUAAGACAGCAGCAUAAGGAAUUUUGUUCCCACUCAGGUGAGUAGGUAAGCACAACAGUUCAUAAAGCCCCUCUCUAGCCACUCAUUUCACCAUAAUUUUCCCAUGUCUCUUGUCCUUGAUAAAACACACAGAUUUUUGAAAUUCGAUAUCAAUGUCAUUAUCAUGCAGUAAUCUGGAAAUGCUAAUGAGAUUUUUAGUGAUGCUUGGCACAAAUAAUAUGUCAUUCAAAGUGAUGUGUUUAUGUGGAUUUGAAGUGGAAAGCAUAGAGUUACCAAUAUGAGAAAUCAGGAGUUUUUCACCAUUUCCAACAGUUAGCUUUUCAUUACCUUGAUACUCAGAGUUGGUGUUUAUGUUGCUAAGGGCAUUUAUCACAUGGUUUGUAGCACCACUGUCCAAGUACCAGGCUCCACUGCUUUGGCCAUCAGUUGCAGCCACAUAUGCACCUCUUGGUUCCCUCCUUUGGCUUGGUUGUGGCACAUAAUUCUUUUUGAAUCUGUGCCAGCAAUUAGCAGCCGUGUGUCCCAUUUUCCAGCAAAUUUGACAAGGCCCCUUUGGAUUUGCACCAUCAUCAUCACUUACAGCUUUGCCCUUCCCUUUGUCAUGAGAGUUCUGAUUUCCUUGACCAUUACCAGAUCCAUUGCCAAGGGUUCUGAAGACUAUGCCAGGUUGAUAUUGAUUUCCAGCCCUGUUCUGGUUGUUCCAAUUCCUUCUCACAUUUCUCAUUUGUGUGUAGUUUGCUUCUAUAUUUCCUGAGCUUAGGUUGUGUUCAGUUCUGUUUUCUUGGCUGAGAAGCAUGCCAUAGACUUCAGAAUGUGAGGGACUUUCCUGCAUUGAAUUUAUGCUAGCAAUUACUGAAUCAUAUUCUGAUCCCAAACCAGCAAAUACACACAUGAUAAAGUCAUCAUCACUCAUAUUACUCCCUGCAGCCCUAAGAGUAUUUAAUAUAGACUUCAUUCUAGAGUAAUACUCAUGAAUGGUUAGUGAGCCCUUUUUGAUGGUCUGGAUUUGUGUUCUGAGAUGUAGGAUUCUAGCUCUAGAUCUUGCACCAAAUUGAUUGGAAAGAGUUGUCCACACCUCAAAGGAGGUGGAACAAUCCACCACAGUGCCCAGCACAUCCUCACUAAGUGAAGAUAACAACCAACUUGGGAGAAUGUGGUCCUGCUUUUUCCAGACUUGGUAAUUUGGGUUAGGUGUGGUGAUUAUUGUUUGAUCUUGUCCAAGGUUUAUGAAAACUCUAGGAGGGCAGACAUGGCUGCCAUCUAUGAACCCCUCAAGUUCAUUUGCUCUAAUGCUGGAAAUCACUUGUGAUCUCCAGAGCAUGAAAUUGUUUUGAUUUAGCUUAAUGGGAGUUGUGAACAUAUAUGUGCUGUUGGUAAUGUGUUGAGUGGGUGAAGGUGAGUUGUGACUUGAGUUUUGUUCAAUGUUUUGAGGGGUGUUUUGGUUUUCAUUUUGAUUCAAGUUUUCCAUCUGAUCGUUUUGGUUCACAUUUGCUUGUGUGCUGCUGCUGCUUGCCAUAGCUUUGAAGAUGGCUCUGAUACCAACUUGAAUUCCUUAGGAAUUGCUUUCUUUGGCAAGCAGAGCACAAGAAACCAGAAACUUAUAUUGAAAAUAAACUUGAAUUGAAUUCUGUUUACAGACCAUCAUCUAUUUAUACAUAAGAAAACAAAAGUGACAACUAGCUAAAAAUAACAAACUCAGAUAACACAAAAUAAUCCAGCAAUCAUUAGCCAAUGAUAUGAUGCUUCCAGAAUCUUCAUUCAUUUAUUCCAUGUGCUGGUAUUUCUCUGUGUAGCAGUUUUGCCACCUCAUUGAAGUUGCAUUAGCUGGUAAAUAGGUGUAGCUUAGGUGGCAUGCCAAUGUGUCACUGAGCUCAGCUGAUGAUUUGUCAUGGUCAUGGCUGCUAUCUUCAACACUAGUAUUCAAUUCUUCUCUGUCUUUCCGUAUGGUGCAGUGGAGUCAAAGCAACGAUUGCUGUACGUGGAGCGGUGUGGAUUGCGAUGAGGCUGGUCGCGUCAUUGGUCUCGACUUGAGCGAGGAAUCAAUCUCCGCUGGAAUUGACAAUUCAAGUUCCCUUUUCAGUUUAAAGUAUCUGCAGAGCCUAAAUUUGGCUUACAAUAGCUUCAAUGGAAGUCAAAUCCCUUCCGGAUUGGGAAACCUUACAAAUCUGACUUAUCUGAAUGUCUCCAAUGCUGGCUUCGCGGGGCAGAUUCCAAUUCAGGUUUCGGGGAUGACAAGGUUGGUUACUCUUGAUUUGUCAAGUCUGCACCGCUUCGGAGGUCCCUUGAAACUUGAGAACCCGAAUUUAAGUGGGCUCCUUCAGAACCUCGCAGAGCUCAGAGCACUGUAUCUUGAUGGUGUAAAUAUAUCAGCUCCUGGAAUUGAAUGGUGUCAGGCUUUAUCAUCUUUGGUGCCUAAACUGCGUGUUUUGAGCUUGUCCAGCUGUUACCUUUCAGGCCCUAUCCAUCCUUCCCUUGCAAAACUUCAGUCACUCUCAGUGAUUUGUUUGGAUCAGAAUGAUCUGUCGUCUCCAGUUCCAGAGUUUUUGGCUGAUUUCUUUAAUUUGACGUCCUUGCGCCUGAGUCAUAGUGGGUUGAACGGGACAUUCCCAGAAAAGAUAUUACAGGUACACACACUUGAGACACUUGACCUAUCAGGCAACAGUUUACUUCAGGGCUCUUUCCCUGAUUUUCCCAAGAAUAGCUCUCUUCGAACCCUGGUGCUCAGUAACACAAACUUCUCAGGUGUACUACCAGAUUCCAUAGGCAACCUUAAAAAUUUGUCGAGAUUAGAUCUAGUACGUUGCAACUUCAGUGGAUCAAUUCCCACCUCAUUGGCCAAUCUCACCCAACUAGUUUAUCUGGACCUAUCAUUUAACGAAUUUGUUGGUCCAAUCCCAUCUCUACAUAUGUCCAAAAAUCUCACCCAUCUAGACCUCUCAUGCAACGCUCUGCCCGGUGCGAUCUCAUCCACAGACUGGGAACAUCUCUCCAAUCUUGUUUAUGUUGACUUGAGGAACAAUUCAUCUCUCCAAUCUUGUUUAUGUUGACUUGAGUGGAAGCAUCCCAAGAUCUCUGUUUUCACUUCCAAUGCUACAGCAGCUUCAGCUUGCCAACAACAAAUUUGGUGGCCCAAUUCCCGAAUUUUCAAAUGCAUCAUACUCUGCACUUAGUACGCUUGAUUUAAGUGCCAAUAGAUGAGAAGGGCCUAUUCCCAUGUCCAUAUUUGAACUCAAAAAUCUUAAAAUCCUUAUGCUUUCUCCUAACAAGCUCAAUAGCACUGUACAGCUAGCUGCAAUUCAGAGGCUUGGGAAUCUUACUAGACUCGAGCUUUCAUACAACAACUUGACAGUGAAUGCCAGUAGUGAUUCUUCCUUCCCCUCACAGGUUAGCAGACUGAGAUUGGCUUCUUGCAAACUGAGGGUGAUUCCUGAUCUUAAGAAUCAAUCAAAACUAUCUUACUUGGAUCUUUCAGACAAUCAAAUAUAUGGGGAAAUACCAAAUUGGGUUUGGGAAAUUGGGAAUGGUAAUCUUGUACAUCUAAAUCUUUCACACAAUCUCCUGGCCAGUCUGCAAAGACCUUAUAAUAUUUCUGAUCUCACUUGCAUGACUGUCCUAGACCUACAUUCCAACCAGCUCCAAGGAAACAUACCUUAACCACCACCAUAUGCAGCCCUUGUAGAUUACUCCAACAAUAAUUUUACUUCUUCCAUCCCAGAUGACAUUGGUAAUUCCAUGAACUUCACUGGCUUUUUUUCCCUUUCAAGCAAUUCCAUCACAGGAGUCAUCCCGGAAACUAUUUGCAGAGCAAAAAAUCUAUUAGUUCUUGACCUGUCAAAGAAUAAGUUGAGUGGAAAAAUGCCAACUUGUUUGAUCAAAAUGAGUGAGAUUCUUGGUGUUCUAAAUUUGAGGGGAAACAGCCUCAGUGGCACUCUAUCUGUCACAUUUCCGGGAAAUUGUGGAUUACAAACACUUGAUCUCAACGAAAAUCAACUAGGUGGAACAGUUCCAAAAUCCUUGGCCAAUUGCAGAAAGUUGGAGGUUCUAGACCUCGGGAAUAACAAGAUCAGAGAUACCUUUCCAUGCUGGCUAAAGAAUAUCUCAAGUUUGCGUGUCCUAGUUUUGCGAUCGAACAGCUUUUAUGGGAGUAUUACUUGUCGAGAGAACGAUGACUCCUGGCCAAUGCUUCAAAUUGUUGACAUAGCUUCGAACAACUUUGGCGGAAGAGUCCCCCAGAAAUGCAUAACUUCCUGGAAGGCAAUGAUGUCUGAUGAAGAUGAAGCACAAUCAAACUUCAAACACCUCCAUUUUGAGUUCCUGAAGUUAAGUAAAAUGUACUAUCAGGAUGUGGUGACAGUUACCAGCAAAAGUCGAGAGAUGGAAUUAGUGAAGAUCCUAAGUAUAUUCACAUCCAUUGACUUUUCAAUGAACAAUUUUGAAGGGCCAAUACCAGAAGAGAUAGGACGACUCAAAUCGAUUUACGGUCUGAACUUGUCACAAAAUGCUUUUACGGGCCCCAUCCCAUCAGCUAUUGGAAACUUGCAACAGCUUGGGUC